rnacentral:lncRNA from 1 species
UUUUUUUUUUUUUUUUUUUUUUUUUUUUUUUUUGGUAAAUACAUAAAAUUGUAUCUUUUCUUUUUUUUUUUCUCUUCUUUUUUUUGUACAAAGAAAUUGUAAUCAUCAAAACUUUUAUAAAAAUCUUUAUCCUUAUUUUGGUUUGACUGAACUCAAAUUUUGAAUAUUCGAGCGCUGCCUACGUACCCUCCAAAAGAAGAGAUCAAGUCGUAACGUAGUUCAAUACAUACAUAUAUAUAAUAUAUAUAUAUAUAUUUUUUUUGGGGUAUUUUCUUUUGGUGCCGUUUGGAAGUUUCAGCUCGUGUGCAGACCGGGAGCGUUGUGCCAUGCAGUUAGGCUCGUGCAGGCGAUGAGCUUUGGUUCGUGCAGUUUAGGCUCGCGAACAAAGGAGCAGGAAUUUGUUGUGCCCCGCAAAAAUUUCAGGGGAUAGAAAAUCAGUAAGCAUCUUCAAGAAUCUAGCCGUUGAUAGGCCAUCACGGUAUGUUGAUUGACCCAUACGUUGUACUUGCUCCCACUUCGUGAUCUGUCUUGUUAAUGUUGAUGAAAAGGCCAAGGUGUUUCUCUUUUGAAAAGCCAAGGGAGAACUUUCUUGUUAAGCUUUAGAAAGUCGCGCUUGAUAACACUCCAGGUUUUGGGCUUCGAGUCUCUUCUCAUCCAGUGCCUCCAGUUCUUGAAGACGCAACUUUGCAUUCUCUUCGUCAGUCAAGCCUUCUUGUAUAGGUUUUGCGAGGGGAUCCUUAGAAGGGGAUUUCUUUCGAAGUGGUAGAACAGCUUCUACGCCAUAUACAAGAGAAUAAGGUGUGGCUCGGGUAGGCGUUCUAUAUGUUGUCCUGUAUGCCCAUAGGGCUUCGCCUUUUUUAUUCAUUUAUUCUUUCUUUGUUCUAACCGAUUACUACUUCGAUUAAAUUUCAGGAGGUUGCCAAUGUCUUGUUGAAUGUUUGCUUCUGCAAGACGUUGGCCGGAGCAUGUAGACAUGGAGGAUUUGGCGGUUUGUUUGCUUUUAAACUCGCAGAGCUCGUCCAUGAGUCGAUUGAGAAGACCUGCUUUCCGUUGUCGGUCAAUGUAGCGAGGCACCCCAUAUCGAUGGAUGAUAUGCCCUUGAUGAAACAGACACGACAGUUUCCUUCUGAACUUCCUUCAGGGGUAUGGCCUCAGCCCACUUAGAGAAGUAAUCUGUUGCAGCCAGGAUGUAAGCCUCUCCUGUAGAUGACUUUGGCGGCAAUUGGUCCCACGACAUCCAAUCCCCAUGCAUCGAAUGGCCAUGAAGUAGCUGUGGGGUGUGGUUCAGGUUGGUUGCGGUUGAUGUAUGAAGUUGGCGUGAAAUUGGCAGGCUUGCACCUCUUGGCGUAUUCCAGGCAGUCCUUUACCAUUCUUGGCCAGUAAUAACCAUUCUUUUGAGCUGGAAAUGAAGCUUUGGUCCGGACUAGUGUGCUCCACAUAUUCCUAGUGUCUUCUUCCAUGGCUUGAUUGGCUUCUUCCUCGCCUAGGCAUCUCAGAAAGUACUCCUUCAAAAAGAUCGCCGGUAGAGUGUCCUUUGUAAUAGAGGAAUCGAUGUGCUCGUCGAGACUUGUUCAGAGCGGCGUAUUCGGAUCAUCUAGAAGCAUUCUAUGCUCCAAGUAGUUUCACAGUAGGCUGUCUCCAUUCUUCAACGUUGACCGAAAGUAUUGAAAUAACGUUUGUAUCACUUAAUACUAUUUCGUGACAAGCGGGAUUACCAUCUUUGGCAGACUGGCACGUUUGUAGCUUCGUCUUCUCCCUAAUUCAUCAUGCUCGAGGCAAAAUAAGUUGGUCGGAAGAGCGUGGGGCAUUCAUGAUUUCACUUUUCUGGGCACGUGCUCUAGUGUUACGGGCCAAACCUUUUGGUGAGCAAUUCGAUUGCAGGCCGGAAGUAGUUGUUUUGUGGUCAUCCCUUAGCUGUCUCACUCAUAUUCAGUCCAGGAGUUGAUUGAUUAUGAGCUUGGGUGCCGCCACCGUAUUCUCAAUGGGCUGCGAAAUUCCGCAUGUUGAUUGCCAUUUGGAGCCCGAGGCUCAAGUGCUUGGUACUCAGCAACGUUGUUUAAUUCGCUUAAUUCGCUUAGGGUCUUUAAUGAAAAGGUGGUAGUACUUGCUUUGUGGCGACAUGAAUCUACUCCUGCCCCUGCUCCGUCUGUUGCAGCGAUCCAUCGAAGAACAUCGUCCACGUCGGGAAUUCUAUCGAUGCCGUCAUUUUUUCAAGCCUCAUCAACCUCAUUCGCAACUCAACUUUGCGCAAAUGACAAUUUGUCCAAUUUUGGUGAGGAUUUUUCUUUCAAUCACGGUUAGUUGCCGGACAAGUGAAAGUACUUACGGGUCAGACCUCCUAAAACUGUCCUUCACCUUAAGUCAGCUUUAUCUCCAAAGAUCUUUCUCAAACGACAGCCCCUCAAGAAGUGUUCUAGUGAUGCAAAAGUGUAGAGCAAGAGUGAUUUCCUUUGAGACAGGAUAAAGAAAACAGCCGGACUGAAGCUUUGGACCUUUGAUUGUAAGCACCCUCGUGUACAGCUAGAAGCUGGCCCACACAGCAUGAGACUUUACAGUGACCGAUGACUCGAGCUAUUUGAAGCAAGCCAUGCGUCCACUCGAAGAUGCCGCAUGCUUGUGUAAAAUGCCUGAAGCUGCAAGUGGAUUCUUAAAAUCAAGGCUCUGGACGGUUUGACCCUCAAUUCUUUCGACUUGCUAAGCCGGGGAUCAAGUAAGUCAAUCAAGAUCCAUUUCGCGUCGUUUCAGCCUGCUUCCGAUCAGUGAAGGUGAAGCGCCAAAUUCGUCUCGACGGCCCUUCACAAGUCAACUACAGCUAGUUCCCCUUCUAGGAAGAUCCUGUGGACUUGUCGGUUCACCCACUAUCUUUGCCCUCCAAUUUCGAAAGUUGCCACCACAUCUUUCCUGAGCAGGAACAAUACAUCUUUUCUUAGACAGGUGCUUUGAUGCGGUUGCUUUUUGUAUGAAGGCUUGCACGUCCUAGCGCUUGUCCUUUGACGGCUUUAGCUGGGACGUAGAUGAUCUCGUAUUGAUUGAGAAGUAAUGCCCAUUUAGCUAGUCGCCCUGUCAAAACUGGCUUAGACAUGACGUAUUUGACCGGGUCAGCUUUAGCAACCCAAGUGGAUGGUGUAAGCAUGCAUGUGUAAUGUCUGAGCUUCUGGAUGGCAAACAUCAAGGCCAGGCACAUUUUUUCUAUUGGGGAGUAGUUCAAUUCAGCGCCGGUAAGCGUUCGACUGAGGUAGUAGAGCGCUCCUUCUUUCUGGGCCUCGUUUUCCUGUGCCAAGAGUGCUCCAACUGAACUUUCCUGAGCAGCAAUGUACAAUAUGAGCGGUUUCCCUGGUACAGGUGCCCCCAGGACAGGUGGACUUGAUAAAUACUUCUUUAUGCUUUCGAAAGCAUUGUUGCAUGCUUCGUCCCAUACGAACAGGACAUCUUUCUUCAUGAGUCGACUGAACGGUUGACAACGCCCUGCAAGGUUGAAGAUGAAGCGUCUGAUGAAGGCUAGCCGACCUUGUAGACUUUUCAACUCGUGCAGGUUUCUUGGUUCGGGCAUGCUUUGAAUGGCCUUGAUCUUUGAUUGGUCCACUUCAAUGCCACGAUGCUUGACAAUGAAGCCAAGGAACUUUCCAGAUGUGACGCCAAAUGCACACUUUAACGGGUUCAUCUUGAGGUUGUAUUUUCGCAACCUUUCGAACACUACUCGCAAAUCCUUCAAGUGAUUUGAUCUUUUCUUUGUCUUGACCACCACAUCGUCUACAUAACAUUCUACAUUCUUAUGUAGCAUGUCACUGAAGAUCUUCUGCAUUGCGCGUUGAUAUGUAGCUCCAGCAUUCUUCAGACCAAAGGGCAUCACCUUGUAGCAGUAAAUACCUUUUGGAGUGCGGAAGGCUGUUAGUUCCUCAUCUUCAAGAGCCAUACGAAUUUGAUUGUAUCCAGAAGAGCCGUCCAUGAAUGAUAGUGCCUCAUGGCCAGUGGUUGCGUCCACCAUGAUUUCAAUGAUUGGCAAGGGGAAGUCGUCCUUUGGGCAAGCAUUAUUGAGGUCUCGAAAGUCCACGCAAACACGUAUUUGUCCAGAUUUCUUACGGACUAUGACGAUGUUGGAGAUCCACUUGGGGUAUUGCACCUCUCGAAUGAAGCCUGCUUCGAUCAACUUGUCAAUCUCGGCCUCGAUUUGUGGGAUGAGCUCGGAUCGAUAGCGUCUUUGAGUUUGCUUUAUUGGUCGCGUUCCAGGCUUGACUGCAAGAUGAUGCACAGUAAUGAUAGGGUCGAGGCCGGGCAUUUCCUUGUAGGUCCAAGCAAAGACGUCCUUGAACUCUAAUAGCAGCUGGUAAUACUUCUCUAUCUCGUCUGCACUUAGUAAUGCGCUCACGAAGAUAGGUUUCGGUUCCUCACUUGUGCCUAAGUUGAGUUCUUUGAGAUCGUCAACUGUGGCUUGCCCCCCAUCUUCGAGUUGUGACGGUGCUGCAAUGACAUCUUCUUCGAGGCUUUCAUCUUCUUCACCUUCUUGGAUUGUGAUGUGGAAGACGUCUUGGGCUUCUUCUUCGGUGUUAACCUCUCGAGCUAGUUGGCAUGAAGAUUGUCCAGUGUGAAUGAUGGUGCGCCUUUUCACUUUCAGUGAUCCAACUGUGUUAACCUCCAAUAUUGCUUGGCGCUUCAUUCUUGAAGGAAUGGAACUUCGAACGUCAUCCUUUUCUGCCAGGCGAUCGAUCUCUUCUACUUCUGGUGUCGUCUUUCUCCUUUUGGAAUGCUCUUUGGCUUCUCCAAGUCUUUCCAUAACUGACUGUCGUGGAGGAAAGCUAGUCGUAUUGCUUUGCUUUUUAGGUUUUGAUAACCUUUUGAAAACAGAGCCUCGAGAUACUGACGUGUUAAGCCUUUUGAAGACGGAAGUUUUGUUUUGACCGCUAAUGAGUUUAGGUGCUGAAACUCUGGGCUUUGAACAAUUCAUUCUAUCGAAUACUGAUGUCCGGGGGGCAGGUUGAGGCUCCUCUUUAUCUUGUAUAAUGCGUACGCUGAUGUGUUGAGCGCUAGCAUUUUUUGCCUUGCUGGAGAUCUUCACCGAUGCAUUUGGUGUGAAGCCAAGCCCAGCUUUGUUGUUGCUAACCCCGUAACCAUGCUUCUCUAACCUCUUCUGAGUUUUAGUGAGAUCACGUUCGUUGUCUUUGACGGUGUUCAAAUCAUUCUUUCCCAAAUUUGCAGAGGAGGUGAAGUUAUACCCAGCUUUCGACAUAAGUUUGUAGGCGUUUGGAUCAAAACCUUCUUCGGUCCUUUUGGUUGGGAGAAAGCUUGGUUCUACCCCCUUUGGCAGGCCUUUUAUGAAGCCUUGUGAUGGUUUUGCAACCUUAGUGUCACCUAGCUGGGUCAGAGGCAAAACUGCAUUCGUUUUGAGCAACUUUACAUUAUCUAUGUGCCGCUGUGCAUCGGCUUUGCUCGCUGCAGUUUCGAACGGGGAUUGACCAUUCUUUCUUCUCGACAUCGGGAUGUACCGGAAGACGGGUACGCUUGGUCCGUUUGGGGUCGUCCUACUUCCUCUGGUUGUUGCAGGUUUAGAAAGCUCAUCGUCGUUUUUGCUUGAAGAUGGCAUAGCUUCUUCUUCUUGCUUCUUGGGUAUAGCUUGCCACUCCUGUUUUUUAGACGCUGCUUUGGUCAUGGAUUUAAUCUCUUUUGGAAGAGUUUCGGGCACCGUGUCUUCAUUCAUGUAGAACUUGGCGUCUGCGAAAUGUGAUUCGGCUUCGGUGAAUGGCUUGGUGUCGCCAUAGAUCACCUUCACUCGUUCUUGGUAAAAUUUUAAACAUUGGUGAAGGGUGGACGGUACCACUCCGUUCGCAUGGAUCCAAGGCCUUCCUAAGAGCAGACCGUAGGAAGUUCUUGCAUCAAUCACGUGGAACAUCACGCUUGACUUGAGUUCACCAAUGGUCAUCUCCACUCGGAUCAUGCCCAUCGCUCUUUGUCCUCAUUGGUUAAAACCUUGGAUUAGUAGACGGCUUAGGGAUAGUUCAUCCACCUUGAUGCCGAUUGCGGUCAUUGUUGACUUUGGCAUGAUAUUUAUGGCUGACCCGCCGUCCACAAGCAUGCGGCUGACUUUAUGCUCCCUUACGUACCCAGAGACGAAGAGAGGUCGGUUGUGAGGCUUGGAUCCUAGCAACAAGUCUUCGUCGGUGAAAUGGAUUGUGUCCUCGGUGGCACAGCAUGUGGCACACUCGUGUGGCCGAGGUCGGUUGUGAGGUUUGGACUCGCUAAAACCGUUGCCAAUGCCCUUCGUAUCUUCUUUGGAAAUUGUAGCGCUUCCUCGAUGCUAAAGUGUAUUGGCAGACCUUCUUCAGGUGUAGGAGUAUUUUCUCCCUCAGCGGCGACAAUUUUGCCCUUUGAGGGUUCUUCCGUUUCUACUUCGACCACGUGACAUGCGGUGAUAGUGCAAUGUUGGAAAAAGUCCUCCGGGAAGUAUUCGUGCAAUGAGACGGGAAUGCGUGGCUUUUGCUCCUCAGGUUCCCCAGCAUAUAUUGGCUUGGCAGCUCCUAUGUUUCUCUUAGGCUUCCUAUUGCUGCGACAGCGGUGCUUUCUCCCUUGUUCCCCCUUUUGCUUUAUAGCUUGCGGUUUUAGUUUCCUCGUCCUCUUAUAGGUCACCAAUGUCCAUCCUCUGUCAUCGUCAGUAGGUGCGUCCUGGUUGCUUGCCCCCAGUGAUGGUGGUGCAGAAUGUGCAGUGUGGUUUGAGUAUUGCCGAGCAUGGUCAGGCAUUUCUUGAAGAAGCACGGGAUCAAAGGAUCCGAACACGACCGUAGUGGUGUGCGUCGCAGCUGUGUCUUCUAGGUCGAGCUCAAUCCGUCCUUGUUGUGCCAACUUCAUGAUGAGUUCUUUUAGGAUGAAACACUUGCCCACAUGAUGACCCACGAUACGAUGGUACUUGCAGUACUUGGGAUCAUUGAUGCGAUUCAUUUCUUCAGGGCGUUUGCAUUCGGGUAACUCAAUCACCUUCUUCUCCAGUAAGUCGUCCAGCAUUGCGUCCAUGUCGGAGUCCGGAAAAGGGUAUACCUUCUGCUCCAAUUCCCUCAAGGUGUUUUUGUACCUAUCUUGGGUGUGGGAAGGCUAACCUUUUUUUAUCUCCCUUGCUUUAUUGAAAGAGAUUUUGACGAGCGCGGACGAGGUCUUGAUAGGGGUGGUAUUGGUGGUAAAAGCUUCCUUGGCGGGCUUUUUCCCAUGAUUGUCUGCUCUUGAAGUGAACACCUUAUCCCUUUUGAAAUCGGUGAUUGGCUCCUUCUUUCCAUGGUGAGCGAUGCUCAACUCCAUGUCGUGGGCACGGGUGGCUAAUUCUUCAAAAGUUCGUGGUUUGAUACCUUGAAGGAUGUAUUAUAAAACCCCUUGCAUGCCCUGGAUGCACAUCUCGAUUGAAGAAAUCUCGAAGAGUCUGUCCUUACAGUCGAGGCUUAGAUUACGCCAUCGGUUGAUGUAGUCCAUGACUGGCUUGUCCUUCCACUGCUUUGUGCUUGUUAGCUCUAGCAUGCUCACAGUGCGGCGGGUGCUGUAGAAGCGAUUGAGGAAUUCCCGCUCCAAUUGCUCCCAAUUGUUGAUGAACUCAGGUUCCAGAUCCGUGUACCACUCAAAGGCGUUUCCUUUCAGCGAGCGCACAAACUGCUUGGCGAGGUAGUCCCCUUCGGUUCCUGCGUUGUUGCAAGUUUCAACGAAGUGGGCAACGUGCUGUUUCGGGUUUCCCUUUCCAUCAAAUUGCAUGAACUUUGGUGGUUGAUAACCCCUCGGCAUCCUUAAGGCGUCGAUCUUCUUUGAAUACGGCUUUGAGUACAACCCGGAGGUAUAUGAGCUCCCUUCGUACUGUGCCUUGAUGGUGUUUGGUGAUCAUCUCUUGCAGCUGCUGGAUAGAAAGAGAUCCCAUGAGUGCCGCUGCUUGGUCUGGUUUCGGCUUCCCAUUGAUUUUCUUCACCGGGGGUUCUUCGUCUCCGCCAGCUCCUCCCUUUAGUGGAUCAUCCUCUGGGUCGGGUUUCUCGCUGUCCUGCGCCUCCAGUCGGUUGACUAAUGCCGCGAUUUGCGAGUCUUUUUCUUCCACAGUUCGAGUUAGUCUUGCGAUUGCUUCAUUCAUUUGAGCAAGCUGUUCCUCGACUGAAGUUGCUCCAACGGUCAUGACUUGCAUGGCUGAACUGCCGCUUGAAUCGUCAUCGGAGAGCAUGGAUUCGGAGUAUUCCCUUGGUCUUUCCCCCCUUGGUGCCCUUAGUGAGGCUAAGGUGAUCACAGGCUCGCGCCUGGGGUACUCUCGUUCCCCUGGCAGAGUUGAUGCAGAGGUGAAAGAGGUGGCAGAAGUAGCUUUUGCUUUGCUUCGAGUCGUGAUACCCAACGUGACACCACUUGCGACGAUGGCGCCUUUGUUCUUUGCGCCGGUUAUGGGAACAGCUUGAGCCUUCCUUGACGUCAUUGAUUUUGGAAGUGUGCUUAUAUUCCUUGAACGGAGGAAGAGAUGAGAUGUAGAGAUAUCCCACCGGGCGUGCCAAUUUGUGAACACGGAAAAUUCCUGAAACGAAAGAGACAAGAACGACGUGCACAAACAAAUAUUUGUAUUUUGAUGAUUUUGGGUUACAAUCUCUCUCGAAUUUGAUCCUCUGAUUCGAUCUCCGUAAGGUGUUGAUUUAUGGGUGUUUCGUUGGUCGAAGGGCCGUCGAGGCUUGAUCUUGGAUGAACAGUUGGAAGUUUCUUCAAAUGGCCGUGGGCUUGAUCUUUGAAGGUGGAUUUGAGUGGAUCUUCAAGGAGCCGUUGGGGCUUGAUCUUGAGGAUGAAUGUUUCCUUCAAUUUCCUAUGUUUUCUUAUGAAAGUGACCAUAGGCAUGCCUGAUCGGAAAUCCACUAAGGCAUGAUUUUGAUGUAACCAAUCCUCGCUAAGAUCACAUUAAAGCCCACAAUAUCCAACAUAAUGAGAUUAACUGACAUCAUUUGAUUGGCAAUGAGAACGGAGCAUCCUCUAUUUCCCACUAGACGUAACAAACUUCGCCUCAUGGCAUUGUGAUUCCCAUGUUGCACCCAAUAGGGGUACCUUGUGGUUAAGUCAUUUGAGCAAACAAAAGUGAUAUGACAGUAGGUGACACUCGAAUUAAUCGAAACACUAGCAAAGUGAGCGACGAUGUUUAGCGUACUCAUAAUAAGUCGGGAUUGUUUUUGGCAUCCUAGUGGGUGAUAUGUUAACAUGGCCAUGGUUCAGCUCUCCUCUUGCACGAUAUGCUUUUCUAUUACCCUGAUUCUAAUUUCCUUGGCCCUGGUUGCCUUGGUUUGUCUGCCUGCCACCUUCCUUAUUGUUGGAUUUUUCUCCGACAUUAUAAUAUUGUCCAACUCAUACCAUUGUGCACCGCCAUCCUAGUACUGAAUAGCCUGGAUACUAGUUGACAACUCCCGAACACUGGGUAGCAUUGCCUUGAUAGUGGUUGGUACAUCAAUAUGCUAGUGUCGAUUUCGGUCAAUUUCCAUGAGUAAGUUUGGCUGAUAAAGGACUGUUCUUUGAGAUAAAUUUGUUGCUUAAGGGGCCACUAGUUAGACCGCAUGUGUAACAAAUUGUACUCCUUUGUCGUAGUGAUAAGUAUUGCAUCGGAAGAAAUUCUAAGUAUUGGUGUUGUUGGAACUUCCUUAAGGAUGAAAACUAUAAUUACCGAUGGAUUUAGCCCCAAAACAGGGUGUGUUGGAACUCGAACCUCCACUAGAAGAUCCAGGAUUGUAACUGCUUCAUUUGAACAAUUGACUAUGCCAGGAACCAAAGGAAGGCUACCCUUGGUGUUCUUCGCUUAAUGUUACCAUCUUCAUCACCAAUAUUGUCACUCAUGACAUUUUCCGAAUCCUUGAUGCGAAGUAAAGCAUCGUAGAAUUCCAAGUAUGUAGUACAUCUCGCAGAUGCCACAAGAGAACUGAGGGGUUUGUAAGUGACAUUUUUGAAAUCCUUGACACAAAGUAAAGCCUCGUAGAUUUCCUGGUCUUAUAUUCCGCUUGAAUAUACCAAUUUUCUCUUUCAUCUUUCGAGUUUGUUCCUUCUCAUACCUCCACCACGACCUUGCUAGUCCUUGGAAGAACCACACUACCGUCACAAUCUAUUUUGAUCAACCAGAAAGUUUUCCAACUUCUGCAUGGUGCAGAACGUCUUCUCCACAUGUUCGAACCAAGGCUCAACCAUUUCAAGUUUCUCACUUGAAGACAAGUGGCGAUUUCCAAUGAAUUCUUUUGAGAAGGGCGAAAAGCCUUCUCGAUAACGUUGUGAUAAUUGUUUUGAAUUGCCGAAAAUCAAGAAAAGAUGGUGUGGUUCGUGCUCGACAAGGUGGCAUAGUUUUGACAUUAGAGAUCAAGAACGACUAGCGCUUAACAUCAUGUGUGUGAUUAGUGUAGGACUACCUAAACAUGUGCUCACCCUGACCUAGAAUGUCCAUGUGGAUAUUAGAAUCAAGACAUGCUAGCAGAAACCUGAAAGGUGACGAAGUCAUAAAGCGAAGGUUUUGUGGAGAACUAUGAAUAAAUUCAAAAAGUAAUUGAAAUGAGAUUCUGCAGUGUGCAUUUUAGAACCCUUAUUACAAAACAUAAUGUCAAAGCAAGCAUAAGUACGAAUGCAGCAUAAAGUAAAGAAUAUUUCUAUCCUAGAAGGAUGGACAUUUAUACAGAAAGGAAAUUUACUUCCUAUGUUGUCCAAUGUGUUAUUUAAUGAUUGCUUAUAAUCCUCAUUGCAACAAGAGCACCACCAAUAACACUUAGAGGGGUGUAAAAACAGAAACAUGAGCAGGCCCAAGAAUAAAGUAAGCACAUAAGUUUAUUAAGGGACAUUUGUGGGCCCCAACGAUGGGAAAGACAAAUAAAGAAAGAGUGUAGAGAUGAGAAAUUGACGAGUAAACUAGAGAGUGAGAUACUCUAGAAAAGAGAGAGAAACUAAGUGGGUUGUAUGUGUGUGUGUUUGGGCUAUAAAGUAAAUUAUUUAGCCACCUAGCAUAAUUAGGAAUAGUAAAAGUAUAUGGGCCAACAUGCCCACUUAUUUAACAAGUCCAGCUAGCAAACCAAUAGUACCAUAAUGUGCAGCCUGCAAUAUUGACAUGAGUACAAAGACAAAGUUUAAAAAAUGCACGAACAUUCCAGCAGGGGUAGCCACUUGGAACCGAAAACCGAAACCGAAACACGAAUCAAAUCGAACCGCACCGAAUGGUUUGGUUUUGCGAUUUUGAAACGGUUUCGGUUUCGAAACUGAAUCGCGGCAAAGAAAACGGUUUGGUUUCAGUUUUAGGUUUUUAAAACCGCACCAAAACCGAAACCGCAUCAUAUAAUAAAAUUAAUAAAUAAAUGUUAUAUUUUAAACUUUUAAUUAGUUCAACUAGGUUACUAGACUAUCAUUAUCAUCUAGUGUUGAAUCUUUAAUAUGGAACGAGAUGAAACAUGUUCUUUGAUCUUUUUUUUGUCGGUUAGGGAACCCUUAUAGACAAGCUGUUACAUUUUCUAAAUAUGUGUUUAUUGGGUUGGGAAUCAUACAAGUUUCAUCAUGGAGACUACACUAACUCAAACAAAUAUUUAUUGGAUAUGUGAUUCAAAUAAGCAACUCACUUUGAGCCUAAAUAAACAAAUAUUUACUGGAUAUGUUUAUUACUGGAUAUGUUUAUUUCUGUUUUAAUUAUAAAUAUGUAUAGGAUAUAUAACAAAUUUACUUAAAUCCGCUUGACUCUGCCUAGCCACCUAGGCGGUAGACCACAGCCGCCGCCCAACUAGGACCUAACGUCUUUUAGAACCUUGCAUGUCAUAUAAGGAAAAAAGAAGAUACAACAUGACAAUCACAAUAGAAUUACAUACAUCAUCCUAAGGUAUACUAUUUAGUUCAACAAUGAUAAUAGACAUUUCGACAAUUUGAUGCUGUUGUGUAUAGUACCAUAACAGCAUUAAGUUCUGAGUCCUAACAUAGUUUGGCAAAAGAAAGAAAAAUAUUCAAAGGACCUAGAACACGUAGGAAAUUACUGUAUAUCCAUAUAAAAGUUAAUUGUCUACACGUAUGUACGGUUCAAAGAUACCUAACAUGUGCGGCGGAAGUAUAUAUUCACAAAUAAGUUAUAAGAUAACCAAUUUAAAAGCGGAUAAUGGUGUUCAGGUUUAAAAAGUUGAGCAUACAUUCUAUAGUUUCUUUAUUCUGAAUCAUAUCUGAAUCAGCAAUGCUCUUUCCAAACGUAGACAGACUAUCCUCCACUGGAAGACGAUGGCAAAAGCAUCGUAUCCACAGGGCUCUGGUAGUUCAGAGGGGAGAUUCCACCUGCAUUUAAACGAGCAAUUUUCCAAGCAAAUCAAAUCUUAAGCAGAUGAGACUACAGAAGAAACUCUAAUAAAUAGGUAAACAAAGAUGGCAAGAGUAAUGAACUCAAAUAUACAGAGUAAAAUGCCAAUAAACAAAACUAUGAAAUCUUCACUCUUCAGUAAGGGACGGCACAGACAGCUGAGAAUUUUGCAACAAGUUCUUUCGUUCAUUUUUUACCAUUCCCGGUUGCUUGAUUAAGUUUGCAAUCAACUAAAGUCUAAAUCAUGGCAUGACAAUCAAUUCAACUUCCUGCUCACUAACUUACACAUAUAUUCUCCCCACACAUCCUUUGAAUCCUGCACUGCAUUUCAAACUCUUGAUGUUUGCUGCUUUCCACAACAAUGCAGGCAACUUAGCCUUCAGACGUGAAAUUGUUAUAUUAUGAUUCCACAACAUAACACUUUCCGAAACCUCCAUUAACAUUUUUAAUCGCAUGCCUUCAACUCCUAUAGAUGACACGCCCACUAGAUAGGUAGAUAGACAAACAAACCAAACAGAAAGGCAAGCACUUCGCACCCUGAAGCUAUAUACCAGUUGACCAUAGUAAUGAGAGACUCCAGGAAUAGCCAAUUGUCCCUUGACUAAUGACCCAAAAGGGCUAGCUUCAUCCCCACUACCUCAACCCCAUUCACCUCUCUUUUUACACUCUACUUUCCCCUUUGGGCCUGUUGCCCACCUCUUCAUCUUUUCUUUGCACCUCAGAUCACACGAAACCCUAACACACCCACAAAGAAGUGGCCAAGGAGCCCUGUAUCCAAGGCCAUUGUUGCCACACUCGAGGAGUUAUUACUGACCUUGAGGACCUUGUCCCUAAUGCUAUGUUUGGAUUAGAGACUUCAAAGUUACAUGGAACUUAGGUUUAAAUUGUUACAAAAUUAGAGAGCAGGACUUGAUAAUAAUUAGGUGCAAUUCAUUUGAGAGAACUAUGAAAUGACUCCUUGCAAGGUGUAUUUUUGUAAGUCCCAAUCUUGGUAUUUUUAUAGUUUUCUUUGCACCUCAGUUCACACGAAACCCUAACACACCCACAAAGAAGUGGCCAAGGAGCCCUGUAUCCAAGGCCAUUGUUGCCACACUCGAGGAGUUAUUACUGACCUUGAGGACCUUGUCCCUAAUGCUAUGUUUGGAUUAGAGACUUCAAAGUUACAUGGAACUUAGGUUUAAAUUGUUACAAAAUUAGAGAGCAGGACUUGAUAAUAAUUAGGUGCAAUUCAUUUGAGAGAACUAUGAAAUGACUCCUUGCAAGGUGUAUUUUUGUAAGUCCCAAUCUUAGUAUUUUUAUAGUGCAUUUAGGGUAUGUUUGGGUGAGGAACUUCCAAAUUCCAAUGACCUUAGACAAAGUGAUGAAGACAUGGAUCACAAAAAGUUAAAUAGGAGGGAUUAGAAAUGCAUCGACAUGAUCACUACAAAGGCAUGUGACAGGGAUUUGCAAAUGACUAAUGCUGAUGUGGUGCAUUUUUAACUCCUAUUUAAUUUUUUGUGAUCAAUUUCUUCCUCAUUCUGCCUAUAUCCCUUGGAACUUGGAAGUGCCUUGCCCGAUCAUACCCCUCAGGUGUUUUAUUAGUACCUAUGUGGUGCUCCAGUAGUUCAUUGGUGGAGCUCAUGAGUGCAUUUUUUAAGAAUUGAGACUAAAUCUUUUUGGCCCCUCCUCCAAACAAAGGGUGAGAGGACUUGAAUUUUGGGUCAAAUGCCACUCGCCCAUGGCUAUCCAGCUGAGGGUUUGGGAUAACAUGGUAUUUGAUUUCAUCAAUGGUAGUCCAUUUCCUGAUAUAAAUAUUGAGGAAGAAAGAUCAACUCAGAUACAUGUCCUGCAAAUUUCACGACACCCAGAAUCCAAAUAUGCAGCAGUGACUCAGACAAUUUUGAGUCCAUGAACAGGUAGGGCGAGAGUUUGUGCUUUCUAGAUAGAGAGGAGAUUGGGACCAGACUGAAAGAUAUGUCGCGGAUUUGGUGGUAGUGGAUUUUGGCAUUUCCUUUUCUAGAGUUACGAGGCACAAGAGUUAUAGAUUAGACUGAUAAGUGACGACCUGAUGAUACACAUUUUGACAGAAAAGAAUAGAUUGUGAAAGAGAAAAACAGAGUAAGGAGAAAAGCAAACACACAUAAAUGGUAAAGAUAUGUGACCAGUACGGAGCUGAGCUAAGUGAGUUGUGGAGCUGGUUUUUAUCAACCAUACUUUUGGAUGAACUGAUCAACAACAAAAGCAUGGUUUCAGUACAAAUACAAGGCCCAUAAGGAUUGUUGUUUGACUAAUUACGUUACUGAACCAGGCUACCUCAUAGAUCAAUACAACUAUUCAUAGUAGCUGCUGCAACCUUAUUCAAAGGCAUAUUACUAAUGUAGGAUAUCUAACUUAACAGCAGCCAUGUUUCAACUUUCAUACACAUAUGCACAUAUGCACAGCUACAUUAACAAUGAACAACCUCUGACCUUAAGACACAUAAAAUUCCUCAGCUCGAGAUGCAAACAAUAAAGUUCUACAUUCAGCUAAGAGAGCUUCCAGUGAAGAAUACUUGUUCCUACCAAGAUACUUGAAGAGAAAAUGCUCCUAUUUGCAGGAGCAUCAUUAAAGCAGCUACUGCCAAGGGAAACAGUACACACAAAAAGGCAAGUAUAGAAUAAGAUUUUAAAACUAGCUUUCACCUCCCUCAUGCAUAAAUCUUGAACUCCCACAGAAAUCCAUGCUUAUUCUUCCGCUCUACCAAAAUGUUAAAAUAUGAAGCCACAAUACAGAGAAAAGAAACCAAGACAACACACUAAUCAAAUACCAAUAUAUUUCAUCAAAAAGAGCAAUAAACACAUUAACCAACUUGAGAAAAAGAAACAAAGACAACAUACUAAUCAAAUACCAAUAUAUUUCAUCAAGAAUAGCAAUAAACACAUUAACCAACUUGAGGGGAAAAAAAAGAAAAAAAAAAAAGACAACACACUAAUCAAAUACCAAUAUAUUUCAUCAAGAAAGGCAAUAAAUACAUUAACCAACUUGAGAAAAAGACACAGGACUCAUGCAAAAAACAUGGAGACCCAAAAGACAAGAGAAAAGUAAACUAAAUAGAAAGAAAAAAAAAUUACAGGAAAAAUCCAAGUGGAUUCAGAGAAAAGGAAAAUACAAAAAUCACAUACUGAGUUCUAAAAUGCAUAAAAAAAUUCAAUACACAACUUACCUUAUAUAAGGAACUUCUUUGAGUUAAUGCAAUUGCUGAAAAAUGCCUAAUUUGAAGUAGAACCUGUAGCACAAGCAGCUGGUUUAUUGUGGUCAUUUAAAAAAAUUUCACCACCACUUUCAGAUAUCUGUCGAUUGUCUGAUCCAGAAACCGGACUGUCUAAACUAUUUGACACAGAAGCAUCAUUAACUCUGUUAUUGUCUUUUGUUUCCAGACGCUCCAUCAUGCGUGAUACAGUUUCAAACCCUGCAUUAACCUCUCUUUUAACUUCCGAACCAAGAUCUGCCAUGGAAGUAUUGCGAGAGAACAAUCUCUCCUUCCAACCUUUUGUGCUUUUUGAUAUUGACUCUUUGUAUCUAAUUGAAAAUGAGAACGUGUGAUGUUUAUGCAACGAGAAAAUAGGAAAAUAAAACUCAUUCAGAAAUGGUAGAAUAAAUUACAAAGGUUAAAGCAUAUUUAUACCUCGUUGAUACUGCACUAAAUCGAGCUUUCAGAGAGUCUGAAAAUGAUUGCAUGUCUGAUGGGCCAGCUCUAUCUUGGGUACUUGGGGAUGACUGGCUAGGUGACCUCCUAAAGGAAAAUGAUAAUAAGAUAGUAAUAAAUCAACAACGGAGAGAAAAAAAAGAAAAAAAGAUGUGAAUUUGCGCACCAACAUAUAUCUAAUCAAGCUGAAGAAUCUAGUACCUAUUGCUCAUGGAAGAUCCUUGUUGAUUUGGAGAAGAAACACUAGAUCCAGACACUGAGGCAGCCAUAGGACCAGAUUGUGAUGAAUGUACAGGAGUGGCCAUUUGAGACGAUUCUUCCCCUAUAUUUGUAGGAGGCGAAGGGAAAGUUACUGCAACUGAAGGAGCCGGUUCACCUUCUUCCAUCUGAUCAGGGGAAGAUGAAACAGGAGCCGGAGGUGUGUUAGGAUGGGUAGAGAAGACCAGGUAUUGCGGGCGACCUUGAGCUGAUGACCUAUUUCUUUGUCCUUCCCUUCUGGCAAUGUGGCGUGAACGACCCAUUGCAGCAGCAGCAGCUAAGUGCUGAAUUAUACGCUCUUCAAGUUCAGCAUCAUUUACACCCAUAGGUAACUACAUCAGGAGCAAAAUUGAAAAACUUUUAAUAAGAAUCUUCAGUUUUGGUGGGUUUAUACUACAUUUAACUUAAUAACGUUAAAGAGCAAAGAUAGAAUACAAACAUGCUGCAAUUCAAAAUCACCAAGAGUUGGAUGAUGAAAUAUUGUGGUAUUUCGAGGUGGAUUAGACCUAAUACUUCUCUCUUGCACUACUGCCUCUAGCAGUUCUUGGCUGUAAAUACACAAAAUGAAGCUCUUAUCAUUUUGUAAUACUUGUAUGAGAGAUGAAUCAAAGGAAUACCAGGACCAAGAAAAAAACUACUAACCCAGUGGGAUCCUUCAAGCUGAUGGGUUGCCAACACAUAGGACAUUGGGAGCUUCGCUGACACCUACAAGAUUGAAACAAAAUUUCAAUUUUUGAGAACUUUCAAAAUUCAUAGAUGUAUCUUUUUAAAAUAAGGCUCCGCUCAACAUAAAAUCACUGUUGCAAAAUCUUUCAUAGACCGUUUUGACUGCUAAGGUAAUUGCAAUCGCUCCUUGCCCAUUUGAUACGUGGUGUCCUUUAAAUUUUUUGUUUAAUAUUAAUUUAACUCACAUAUUUAAGAACCAUGUUUUCCCUACUUAACUCACUUGCCUUCCACUGGUUUCUCCGACCCAACCCGACAGUCCCAACCAUUUGCUGCACCUUCCAACCUAGUCACUGCCCCUCCUCCAAUUAGUCAUCAUUGUUCAAACGAAAUUCGUAGAUUUCUAAGUCUAAUAAAAACGAAAUUGAAAUCUUGGGUUUGCAGGAGAGUCAUAACAUAUUCUCCACCAAGAAAUUAAAAAUGCCAUUACAUUUUUUAUGUAGUUUUGUUUUCUUUAAGGUUCUGUUGGCUGAAAUAAAAUUGGUUUUUCACCGCCUUGUUUUUUUCGUUUUGUCUCUUGUUUACCUUCUCCUUGAUCAUUCCCUCUAUUUUUUUUUUAAAUAUAAUUAUGUGUAAUUGACUGAGCGUUCCUUCUAUUAAUUUUCCUUCUUUUAAGUGACUGCAGUCCAUUGCUUUUAUUUGAAAUUUCAAGCUCUGAAUAUAUGGUUUUAUAUGGAAUCAGAAAGAAAUACAGAAAUGAUUUCUAGGUUUAGGAUAAGAGGGGGGAGACAGGAUGUAAAAAGCUACAAAUGGAGGGAGAGUGAAUGGCAAUUGAGUAAAUAAGUAAGACAAACAUGGUUCAUAAAUCUGUAAGUUAAAUUAACAUAUAAAAAUUAAAAGGAAAGCCACAUGACAAUUGGCAAAAGGGUGUUGCAGCAAUUGAUGCUAGCAUUCCUCUUAAGUUAAUAGGUAACUGCGUAGAAACAAGCUUCUGGCACCAUCAUAUCUAUCUUGGAUUCUUGAUAACCAUAAUAACUAAAAGAAAGGUGUAUUUAUUCACGGGCAAAAUGAAAGUUCAUGAAUCAUGUGUGAGAAAGGAGACAAACCUCAAGAUGUCAAAGAAAGCUCAUUAAAACUAUUAUUGCAAACAUAAAGAUAAUAGAAGAUAGGAUAUGAAUUAUUCGGCUCAAAUUAAUAUGCCUUAAUCAUUAUUGUACAAGUUGUUAAGGCAUGCUGUUGGUAGUACAAAAGUCAAAGGUAUAACUAGGUUGACCAUCAUUACAAAAAGUAGAAAUUUGAUGUCAUGUGAAGAGAUUUCAUUUGAAGUAUCCCUGAAGGCUUUAACAACUAGAAUUUACCUGUUAAUCAAUUUCCAUGAGUUCACAACUGACCAACAAGUAAAUAUCAAUUUCUUAGCGUGGAGUAGUUAUGCCAACUAUAAAAUCACAAUUCACAAUUCACAAUGCACACAGCAUUCCCUAGAAGUAAGAUGUGGAACCAGAACAGGGAUUCUGACACAAAUGCCUAGAUCUAAUCUUUAAUUCCAACAACGAACUAUUUCCACAGUCACAUUAUUUGGCUACCUUAUAAUCCUGUGCUACCAUUCAUAGGCAUUUCAUGAACAAGAACAAGAAAAUCUAACUAUAAUAUCAACAACAAAAGAAUUAUAAACGGAAAAAGAACUUUAAAUACUAAGAAAUGGGUAUCAGAAAAAUACCACUCAAGAAUGCACUGAAGAUGAAAUUCAUGCUUGCAACCCGUCAACUGCAUACAGAAAACGAGAAUUGAUUAAAACGGAAACCAGAUAAGAAAAGAUAAUAGUGUCUCAACCAUUUUAUAUAUACCGUAGAAGGAUCAUUUUCACAGAAGGCCUCUAGGCAUAUACUGCAAGCAUCAUCACAGGCUUCCUGGAUUCCUCCCUCCACAAAAGCUGCUGCUGAUGUCAAAUGGGCAUCGGAUUUGUUGGUCUCUUCUAUUCCCGGAACCUGUAAAGCAACGCUGUAAGCUUAGCAAAUACGAUUUGUAAAAUUCACGGAACUUCUUCCACGGGGACAUAGAAGCAUAAAUAAUGAAGGUGAAGUACUAACGCAAUCAAGAACAAUGGAGUUUAAAAGUAUAUCCUUAAUCAAACCAAUACAAAGUAUAUUAUCUUACAUUGUAUUUACAACAAAGGGAACAACUUCAGCACUGAAAGGCCAACACUAAGAAGCACAAAUAAUUUAACCCACCAAGAUAAUCAGAUCAAAAAUUCAUAAAAUCAAAUUAAGAGCUCUCAAAAUUACAAAUAAAUAACAAAUUACUCCUUUCUUCCCCUUGAAUUCAGAAAUAAAGCAUUGAAGUACACUAAAACAUAUGAAAACGAACAAUCAGAAGAAUCAAGGGUCAAUUAAACAGUGUUUAACACCUAAUUUAAGAGGGAAUAUUACAAUUCAUGAGCUUGUCAUAUUUUCUUACCAAUGGAAACCAAUUUAAUCAUUUGAUGGACAACCAAAACAGUCAAAUCACAAAAGUAGUUAAUUACCUCCAUGAAAAUUGCAAAGCCUUGAAAUUAUACAGCCAAAAAAUCGAUCCUUGAUUGCAGGGAUGAAGUUUAAAUUGGGAUUAUGGGAACAGCGAAAACCCUAGAGAGAGAGAGAGAGGGAGAGGAGAGAGUUUGCUAAUUAGUCAGCUCUUUGCUUUUUGUUCACUUUAUUCAUUGUGAGCGAGCGAAGACUUGACUCUUGAGUGCCGCGGAGUGGCGAAGAAUUGUAUAUGCGUCGGCAGUCACCACAGUGCUCACACGUGUCCUUCCCACCGAAUCGCUUUUGACGAUUCAUUCUAGCUUAUCUUACCCGCCACUCUCUUCGGUCUUUCUCGAUCUUUUUUGGCUGUCAACCCAAAAAACAACUUGGAACAAAUCAAUUUCACAAACUACUUUUCCUUCAUAGAUUUUUUCUUGGAAAUUUGGCUGUUUUGAUCCAUUCUUUACAAUUUGGUUGCUAGAAUGAUCCAUUCCCUAAAAAAUUGUUGUUCUUUAUUAUUUUUUAUGUAAAAUGUCUAAAUUCUUAUUGUAUAAUUGCUCACUUCAACGACUUCAUUAACUGUUCAAAAUUUCAAAUCUCCUCUCCCCUCUCUUCAAAAUUCUAGAUCUUCUUUGUGGAGCAAAAAAUAAUCACAAAAAUUCACAAGGCAACACAUAAGCUUUUAUUCUAGGAAAACAAGAUUGCCCUCAUUACAUGGGCAGGGCUCUGAAGCAUCCCCAUGUGCAGCUCAACAAAAGCUUGCCCAAAGACUAAACAAAUCACUUACAAUCAAUAAGGGUAGUCGGAACACGUAGUUCAAGUGAAGAGUCAAAUUCACACCUUCCGCUGAUCUCCAAGGUGUCUUGGCCCAAUCGUGAUCCCUUUUGCUUAAGAGAUCAAAAAGCCUAUGGCGAGUUCUCAGCUGCCCAACUCCGUCAAUAUAACCUAUGUUGAAGAAGUACUAGAACUCAUUGAUAGUUAGGUCCAAGUCAAAGAACUUACUCCCCAACCAUCAUGCGGAUCGCAUUUAGAGAACACUAGGCAACACAAAGUAGUAAGGAUGGAACUUGAUGAUGUGAGAACCAAUCAAAUGUCAAUUAUACAAUAUAUAAUAAAUUCACAAUUUAUUUCAAAUUACAAUUUCACUAUAUAUACAAUAUACCAGAAUAUGAACAAUUAAUAAAAUUGCAUAUAAAAUCACAAAUCACUAACUUGUUUAUGGAAGAUAGAGGCUUGCAGUAGCAAUCUCCUAAGACAAAAAUUCACCCCUACACCAGUGCAGUAAUUCAACAGACGUCUAUCUUGCAGGAUACAACUAUCUAACCCAAGUUCUUGCACUCGAACUUGGAUUCUUGGCGAAUUUACUAUGUGUUUCUCUGUGAAAGAUCAAAAAGAGAGGGCGAUUGAAUUGUAUUUACGUUUGUGAUAUAACUGUCAUAUAUAUAAUGGCGUUUUUGAACAGUUAUGGCCAUUCAUUCUUAUUUUUCCAGAACGGAUGUAAUUAUUUAUGUAAACAAUCUUAUCCUUUCAGAAAAAAGUGAAUCCUAAAAUCAAAAACGUAAAAAUUGUACUUGUGUUUUUCGUCCAUUUGAACCCAAGAGACCCAAGGCCCAUCUUUGACAUUUAAUAUAUACACCCAAACCUUCCAAGUCCAUGGCUUUGGCCCAAUUCCUUGCAAACAAUAAGUGAGUGAACUCACUUAUAAAGGGGAAGUAAACAAAGUGUAUGGGCAAUGUGGGACAAAAGUCCCACACAAGUUCUAACAAUACCCCACAUUUUAUAUUCAAACUCUAGCAGAUGACUCUCUUAGCAAUCCCACUGCAUGGUUUAUGGUUGCUCUCUUCUUUUGCACGUCUUAUGCGAACUUCAGACGGAAUCACAUGCUUGUACACCUCCAGAAAGUCUUUGAACCGCUCGUCGAAAGUGAUCUUGAUGUGAGCAGCCCUGAAGUAACCUACCUUACCAGAAGAUCCUCCCUGAUGAUACAAUGGCAGAAGGUAUUCUUCACCUUUGUGGCUUGAAGGAGACAUGUUCAGAAAUUCCUACAAAAAUAUGAGAAAAAGAUAUCUAAUGCAUGCCCAAGAAAUAAAAAAAUAUAUAUGUGGAGCAGCACGCCAGGCCGCAACCAACUGGCUACCCUAUGGAGCAACCCAACACGUUAGGGGGCCCAACCCACUAGAAGGCCCAGCACACCAGGCAGCCCAGCGCCCAGGGUGUUAUCUCUCUCCCUUUCAAUCCAAAAGGGCUAACAGCCCAAGUAAAACAGAAGGGGGUUGGUGCCCAUGUGCUUCCCUCAUUCUCUCUCAUUCCUGCACAAGCCCAAGCCUAGCAACCAAUUGGCGGAAAGCCAAACCUACACUAGCUUUCCCCCAUUGCGCCCCAAUGCCCUUUGGCCUAAGCCAAGCCGACACCUGGCCCCAACCAAUCGUGCCAUGCCACUUCUCGGCUCUUUGCUAAGCCGUCCAACCUACAGCAAUAGCAAUAGCACAAUUGCCUCAUGGUUACUUUAUCCCCAUUCUCGGCUAACGCCUAGCCAAUUUUCAAGCUCGAAGUUCCAUAAAAUUAAAAAGAAGAAGAAUUAAAUUUUUUUUCUUACCUUGGUGCGGCAUGGAAAAGAAGAAAAGGAACAAGAAACGAUUCUUUACGAGGGCAAGCAAGGAAGAAGGCUAGGGGAGGGGGAAUAAAUUUUCUCUGACUCUCUCUCUUCUUAUAAUUUUAAAAAUUUCUCUCCAAAAUUAUUUAACUCCCUGCUUAAGGCAGACUUAAAUAGGUUUUCGUAGCAAUUGAUUCCCUUUCCUAGAAAAAUUUAUCUCCAAGUCAAAGUAGAAGAUGUGCAUCAAAUUAGAAAACAACUCUUUACUUACCUAAGCAACUUGGGAUUUCUACACUUACUGCCUUUGUUGCAAGCAACCUAGCAGGUGUAAGGGCAUUUUUGGAGCAAAAAAUAAUCCCAAAAAUCCACAAGGUGACACGUAAACUUUUAUUCAAGAAAGACGAGAUUACCCUCAUUAAAUGGGCAGGGCUCUCAAGCGUCCCCAUGCGCAACUCAGCAUCCUUGGAAAUUCAAGUACUUGACUACGACUGCUCGCAGCUCCCCUACUCAUGUGAAAAAUUCAAAGGUAUUAUAGAUAAAGAAUGACUACCCUAUGGAUGACAUAACUUGGCUAAUAGGAAGCCGCCAUGUGUAGGGCAAAACGCUAUCCCCAUAUUCAGCCACCUCCCUCCAUUUAUACCCUCAUCUCCACCAAAUUUUGGUAAGCUUUUCGUUGUACAAAAAACCCUAAAGAUUCGCUCUAUUUAGAGUUACUGACUUAGGCAUCAAACAUCCCUUCCUCCCCCACGCUCCUCGUGGGCGCGUGAGACUUUGAUCUUCAAUCAAAGGUGUUGAUUGUUUGGUAGAUACUUUUUUGUCAAGACUGAAGAUGAAGGAAAUUGUCUACCACAUCCUCCCUUUUCAGACCACAUUCUCUUUCAUAUGCUUGCCCUCCCCCUCACUCUCUCUUUAGGUUAAGGUUUCAAUCUUCAAGUUUUCCUAUUCCUUUUGAGUUUUCCAAUGGAAAUCAAUCAAUAGUGCAAAACAACGAAAACCUACAGUUUUUUUUCUCAUGAAAUAUUGCAAUUAUAAAGUAAAUGUUUUUAGAAUCCCCUACUCUAAGAGAUAAAGUAGAGAAAAUACAAAAGAAAAGAGAGAAUAACCCAAGUAUCUUUCACUGUCAUUAUGCCAUCUUUAUAUGAGGCAUCAAAUACAUGAGUGGUCAUCCUAAGAUUCUUUGUAGUAAUCAAAAAACCUCUCUACAUUAAUAUAAUUGUUUAUGAUGGUUUACUACCAUACAUUAGAUUAGGACAACCAUUAUUCAUGUUUCACAACACUCCCCCUUGGAUGUCUAUAUAUCAAUGAUAAGUUGCCUCGUUAUAAACUAGCUAAGUGUCACGUCCUGAACCCGAGGUCGAUGGAAAAAUAUAACUCUACUCCCAGUGCGCAAGCUAAAAACUAAACUAAACAAAAAGACUGAAGGCAAAACAAACUUCUCUUAAAAAAAAAAUUAAAAAAAAAAACUCCAAAAUCUUACAAACUUUGGAGAAAUAAAUAAAUCCUUGAAUCCUCAUCUAACACCACCUCAGUUCCCUCUGGCAACUCUGUUGCCAAAUAACUCAUUUGUAAAAUAAAAGGGGGAGGGGUGAGCAACAAUCACCAUCGCCCAGUGAGUAGAAUAUGUAAUACGCCAAUCAAGCGUGUUGUUUUACUCACAAUAUACCAAAGUAUAAUUAUACACAAGUUUUCAUCACAUAUAUGCCAUAUUACAUCAUCCCUUCACAUGUUGGUCAUUCUUCAUAAUAUGUAGCUUACCACGUGAUCCCUGAAUUAGCAUUUAUGCCUUAAAGUCCUCUUGUGCCAUAUAUUUAUCCCUCGAAUAACCAAAAUACUAAAGUUCUCAUGCUCCAUAAACAAUCUCAACAAUUCCACAUAUAAUGUGUAUAUGAACACCAAAACAUUGUUGGAAAUGUGCCCUAAAACCAAUCAUAUGAUGAUACUUUACGGACAUUUCACAUGUUAAACUAAUCUAGUUUAAUAUCAAGGGCAUAGAUUAUUGUUUUAAGCCGUCUCAUAUAAAUGUUAUAUGCUUAAACAAUAAGUCCAAGGAAUAUGUGAUUGGGAGAAUACGAUCUAAAGAAGUUAGAUUCAUGAGACAAUUCUUUUGUAGACACAUCCUAAAUGUUCCUGAUCAUAGGAUUGCCAAUUGGGCAUUGACAAUCCGUUAAGAUCAGUACGUACUGUGUCUUCUCUCAGGGAGAGUGACUAGUCUCGAGUCAUUGGUGUGUGUGACAUCAAGACAAGUACGUAGGUGCUCAAUAGAGAAUGAGUUCACUGAACACGAUCAACGAAGAGUUCUCAUAUUCAUGUCACAUGAGAACUCAUGGUUGGGAUAAUGCAAAGUAGUCCUUGACCUGAGGCAUCAUAGAUGUCUAAUGGUUAGGUCCUUGAUCUUUGAUCAUGUCAAACGGCAUUCCAUUGGAGUGUCCACGGCAUUGUUGGAGUCAAGUUAUCUAGUCAUAUAGGCAUAUGAAUGCGCAACAAGAGAUCUCUAACCUUCAAACCGUUUGAGGGAGAAUACUCUAUGAUAUGAUUAAGAAUCUUUGGCCAAAGUAUGAAUGAGAUUUAGGAAAGCGUUCCAAAUCACAUUCAAGGUAAUCAUAUAAGCACACGAAUCACAUUGGACAGUAGACAUGAAUAUAUAAACUAUCAAACCAAACAAUGUGGUCAAGAGUAUUGUAUUAGAGAAAGACCGUAUUGCAUUUGUAAUCCUAAACUGAAUAGGUUCUCCACCUCUUCUGAUUAGCUUGGGUAACCAUGAUAUGCUGCUAGGUGUCACUCAUGGUUUGUGGAAGCCCUAAACGUGUGUAAUCACUAAAGGGAGAAUUGAAAGUAAGUUUCAAUUCACAAUCGAUUGGAAAGAGUUUUAAUCGCCCACUGCCUCGCUAAAAGGAACCUAAUGGAUCGUACACCGUGUAAGGUGAAGAUUGAAGAAACAAUGGAGAUGAGUAAGAAUGAUUCAAUGGUUUAAUUAUUUAUUAAUGGCAAGGAUUAAUUAAUAUGUUAAUUAAUCAAACGAAUAAGUUCGUUAAAUACCUCGGGAUAGUUUUUGGACCUUAAGGCCCAAUGGGCUUCGAACGUCAAGCCCAUUGACUUAAGUUGUAUGACAACUUAAUGACUAAAUAUUCACAAAGGCCCAAACAACCCAAAUACACCCUAAGGCCGGCCAUAUUGUUAAGGGUAGUGAACUUGGACUUAUUUACAAGUUUGCCACUCAAAUGAAUAAAGGUAUAAAUAUGACUUUAUAGCCAAAAUUCAUUUAGGGUUUGUUUUGGAGAAAAUUGGAGAGAACAUGUCUCUCCAUUUCUCUCUAAAGAGGCCGGCCCCUUGGAGGGUGCAUCUAGCAAUCCCACUACUCCAAGGUCACUCAUUUCUUCUCCAAUCUAACCUUGGUGAAGAGACUUAGAGGUUCUCAAUUUUGGGAACUUGGAGAAACCUUUUCAUCCAUCCAAAUCCAUAGAUUUAAGAUGCAAGGAAUGAAGGCCCUCUCUUUGGGUGAUUAGCCUUUGCUUAUGCAAAGAGGAAUCUACAAAGGUAUAAAUCUCAACUCACUUUGUUUUGAGUUGAUUAAUGGUUCACCAAUCUACUAGGCUUUGAAUUUCAUGGUUAAUGUUUUGUUUUUUAAUGCAUGCAAGCAUGAUUCCGCCUUUUAAUUGUUAAAUGCAUGCUAUAGAUGUUAUUCAAAUGAACAUGUUUUCACAAAAUAUUCCUUCAAACAUUUCCCAAAAGCUAACAUGCUUGACUUGAAAAUAACAAGAUAUUUAAAAAUAGAGUAAAACCCAUGAUAAUUCAUGGUUUUUAUGUUAUCUGAAAAUAAGAAUUUUUAGAACACAUUAUAUAAAUCACUCACCUCACAAAUAGAACAUUGGCAUGACAACUAUCUACAGAUCCCAUAUGUCAAAUUCUCUCUCUGUGACUCACUCUGCAUGCAUUCCAUUGGUUUUAGGGCACAUUUCCAACAAUCUCCCGCUUGCACUAAAGCCAAUGAGUCGUGUGUUUAGUGAGGAUACCUUUUCAGAUGUCAUUUCAAAGAUAGUUGAGUAAUAGGCCUUGACAACGGAUAUUUAUAUGUCAUCCAUAGAAGCAACUUUGAGAUUAAUGACGUUACUGAUAUACAUGAUUUCAAUUGUAUGGUUUAGUCUCUCAAUUGUGUUUGGAACUUGAUGAGACCUUGAUUCCCUAGCUUAAGCUAACGGCCCAUUAAUGUUGUAGUGUGGGUGCACUAAUGGCGCUUUCUGGUUGGAACCAAAUAGAGAGUUCAUUAAUGGACUUUCCCAUCCAAACAACUUUGUUGUAAGCUUCUAAAUGGCGAUAUAUUUUGCAAUGAUUGUGAAAAAACUAGAGUCUUUAUUUUUAAUGUUUCCAUUCAACUAUUUCUUUAUUCGUAACAAAGAGAUAUCUAAUGCUGGAUAUGAUGUUAGUUUCAAAAUCUAAAUCAGUUUUACACUUCCUUUUGUUACUUGAAUUUUCCUUGUUAUUGAGGAAUCAUUCCUUUAGUAUUUCUCAAACACUUAAGGACUCACUUGACAGUUAACAUGGUUUUGAUCUUAGAUUUGCACUAAUAUUGUCUUGUACCAUUCUUAGUACAACUCAUACCAGUGUUUUCAUACAAUAUAAAAUACCUAAACCACCUUUCUGCGAAUGCAUAAAGGAUUCUAUUUACGCAUUCCAUUUCCUUGGUAGUCUUUGGGUACACACUCUUUAAGAAGAUCAACUUCCUAGUCUCACUGGAAUUGUUCUUCUAUUUGAAGUUUAUCAUUUGUCUAUUAAUAUGGAUUGAGAUAAGCCAAUUAACUUAUGAAAUCUAUCUUAUAGAUUCUCUUCCGUAGUGUAUAGAGCAUGUCCCCCAUAAACAGCCUAUCAUAAUAUAACGUUUUAAAGUUAACUUUAUUAAAGUAGCAUUUUAUUUUUAUUUCCAUAUAUAUGUACAAAUUUAGGAAUAUGAAUAACUCCCACUAUUCUUUUGUAAACAAGAGAUUUAUUUACACCUUUAUGAGAAAUUAAAUGAUUUGACGUUUUCUCAUUAGGUGCUUAUAGCUCCCACUAGCUUGCUUAGACUCAUGGUGGAUGGAUCUCUAUAACAUAUACAUCUUCUGAUUCCUAGUCUUAGACAUAAAUCAUCAAGACAAUCUUGAUAAUGGUUUCGGAAAACCAUAUUAUAUUCAAAUGUUGAAUCACUGUGUAGUUGUAGCAAGCAAUCUCUCAAUUAAUUGAACUCAAGACUACGUCAAAGAUGGUUUCUUCAAAGUUAAACUAUCUCUUCGAUUGUAGUCACCUUAAGAUACUAAUUGGUUUUAUAGGUUUCUAUACUUCGAGUUUGUUAACUACCAUUUCCUUGAGUGUAAAUCAAACAUACGCUCAAUGUAGUCCCAAGGAUCUUCUCUUUAAUUCCUUUAAAUUAAGGAGGUGUAACUCUAUGACUAGUCAUAACAUUCAAACCAUUCAACUGAGAUUUUUUUUUUUAAAAUCCUUAUUGAUCUUCUUGGAGCUUGUGGUGUAGGGUCUGGGUUUUUAAAUUUGUUGAACAACUUAUACCUCAAGGACAUAUUCCUUGAGUUCUAUCUCUUGUUCAUUUGCUCUUUCUAAGGCAAAUCCUAUUUGGAGGACUAUAAUGAACUACCCAACAAACAACCUUUGUUAGUAGGUCUAUAAAUAUGAUAUCCAUAGAAUUAUGUAUCCCACAAGUGUACUUGCAACACACAUUGCUCUUAGAACAUAUGUAAGUCUAUUGACAUAUGUUUGACAAUGCCAAAUCUUAACUUACUUAAGACUUGACUUUCUUUCCAACUACAAGUGUUUGAUGACCACUCAGAUGUUUGAUGCCCUAUAUAAGAUGGCAUAAUGAUAAUGGAAGAUAUUUGAGUUCUUCUCUUUUCUUUCUUAUUCUCUGUACUUUAUUUCUCACAUGUAAUCAACACGCUCUAGGUAUAAUUCCUUCAUCUUUUGAAUUUUUUGUUCUUUUAUCUAUGAUACUAGUUGAUUCGGAUGGGAUAUCAAUCUUUGUAGGUGUAUUUGCAGCAGGUAUAUAUUAUUUGUCACUCUUGCUAUGUUUGUAAAUGCCCACAACCAUCCCUCAUCCAUUUCCACCCAAUAAUCAACGAGAUUUGAUCUCCGUUUCGCGAAGUUUGCACCGACGGGCUUCGUGGGUGCACAGCGGCGAUUGGCUAUUUUUUAAGGGUAUUUUAUCGACCACCACCACCAUUAAACAUCUCCUGAACCCAGGAACAAAGCCCAAACAAGUUUGGGGGUGGCGGAGCUGCAGAUUCAACGAAUUGAAGAACACCUACUUUAGGGUUUUCAACGGAUCGAGGCCAUUUUUAGGUGUUUCCUGGUCAAAUUGGACUUCGGCCCAGGUAUGAAAAAUGUUUCUCUCAUUGAACUCUACAUGUUUGUAAAAUUUGGUGAAUUUUGGAGUUGGUCAAUUCGUGGUUUUCGUUCGCCAAAAAUCGCCGUCUGCAGUGGCGCGUGGCCUGUGACAGCCCGUCCCAAGAAACAAUUAUCGUUGAUGUGAAAAGACUAAAAUGCCCUUAAGCGUUGAGAUGUGUUGUGUGUGACAUGCUAUUAGAAGUGGACUAAUAUGUUAAAUUCCUAAGUUUUUGGGACCAAUUGGAACUAAAGAAAAUGGGUGGUGAUUGGUUGGUUGUUUCUAAACCACACACACACAAAAGUACCACUUUCUCUCUCUCACCCUCCCGUACUCUCUCCCUCUCGGACACACACUCUCUCUCUCUUUUCUUCUCUCUUGUACGGACUACACCUAAAACCCAUUGAAAGUGUGAAGAUUGAAGGUGUGAAGCACACCAUUGUGUUCGUGAGAACCAUACGACUUGAAUGGUACCAUUUUCAGGUAAGAACUCCUUCAAAAAAUCGUGAAAUCCGAACCCCGAUUUGAGGUACUAUUCAUGCUCACGUAAAAUGUUGAUUUUUAGGGAAUUUUAAGGACAUAAGAAGCUUUAGGAGGUCCUAAGGAAGCUCGAAGUGGUUCGUUGGGUGAAAUUAGACGUCGGGAUCGUGAGUUUCAAGCUUGGCCGGAUUUUAUGGAAUUUUUCCGACGAGAUCCCGUAACUUUUGGAGCUUCAAAUUGGUAAGGAAAUGUUCUUCAAGUUGUAAGCUUCAUUUUGGUGCAAAUUUCGUAGGAAAUGGAAGAAAAAUGAGUGAGAUAUAGCGAUUUGAAAAAUUCCCAGUUUUCCGGCGACGGCGACGGUCGCCUAAGUCUGAGGUUGAAGACGACAGAAUAUUCCGUCAAUUCUGACGGAAUAUUCUGACGCCGUCAGUUAAGUUUAACGGAAUCUGUUAGGAUUUAACGAAAUAUUCCCUAACUGUCGUUACUGCUUUCGUUAGAGUACCCUGCGCGUGGCCGCGCGUCUUGCCGUGCACUCGCUGGUGCGUGGCGAUGAGUGGGUGGUGAAAAAUUAUUUUAAAAAUAUAGGGACGAUCCUGAGAUUGUGUAGGUCACUGUGGUAUAUUCAUAUACCCAAUUUGAGCUAUUUAUGAAAAGUUAUUACAUAGUUUGGUAUAUGUGCAUUAAAGUGACGUUUAUAUAGUUGUUUCUCCUAUAGACAAGACCUAUUCGAAGGACGAGCGUAGCCAGGCUAGGCACGGGGGUUACGACCCAGCUACAUAUCAGUGAGUGGGCAGUUAUUUUCAGUAUAUAUAUAUCUACUUGACGUUUUUCCCAGAAAACGUAUUUAAAAGAAAUGUGAUUUAAAUGCCAUGCCAUGUAUGCCUCAUAUUUUAGUAUAUGCAUUAUCAUAAAGGAAAACUAAUGAAAAGGGCUUGAAAACUUUAAGUUUUAACGAUAAGGAUAAAAUAAAGGGUAAAGUGAAUAGUACCAGGUUUGACUUUUUAGUGUAAAAAUGUGGUUUUUCGUUAAAGUGAACAGUACCGUGAGCUUUUCGUUAAAACUCCCUUAUCAUAAUUAUGCAUAUUGUUGCAUGGUGUUGUGGAGGCCCAGGUAAGCUACAGGUGAGUACAUUAUGCUGGUAAUGGUUAUGAGAUAUGAUGAUGAUGAUGUUGAGAUGUAUAUUAGAGCUCAUUAAUCUGCACCCCGGUGUUAGUGCUCCUGCCCAGAGUUAGGGGCACAGUGUUUCACGUGAUGUUCACCUCUCGCACCACACGCUCAUCUUGGAUCCAAGUUAGGUGCACAGUCCUGUCGUAUAGACAACUUUGAGUGGGUCCGACUCGUAGGUGACCCGCGAUUUAUCGCACAGCCUUCACGUGAUCAUAGCAUUAGAGCGUAUUAUUAUUUUACACCUAAUCUUGUCAGUCAGACCACGUGAGGUGGUUCCAACUCGUGUGCAGAUAUGUGUAUACAUUAUGAGAUAUGAUGAGAUAUGUGACGUAUAUACAUGAUGAUUUAUAUGAUGAGAUAUGAGAUUGAUGUUGUGAUUGAGAUAAGCUCUAGAUUCCGUUGUAUAGAUCACGUCAGGUGACUUCGGCUAGCAAUCAGUUACUGUGAAUUGCAUCACCUGGCUUACUUUUGGUAUUUUUAUGUUAUUGGGCAUGGCAUACGCAUGGCAUAUAUAUAUACAAAUAUGAAUCUUGAUUUAUUGAGCAUGAUUUGAGUUAUAUACAUAUUAUUGUAUUCUAUUUUCUGGGAAAGUAUCUAUAUACUUGUUUUACGGCGAGGGGUUAGUAUAUUCAAAGGAAAAUAAGGUUUUCGUGUAAAUGUGUUUUACUGACCCACUCAACUUUGUUUUUCGCCCCUCCAAGUUUUAGGUAGCUAAGUUUGGUGGCCACGAGGAAUCCAACGUCAAUUCUAACAGAAUCCGAAAAAGUAGGAUUCACCUUUGGGUGUUGUAUCUUAGUAAUUGUCCUACUUGACUGCAACUAGACUUUCUUAUUGCUCUGAUUUAUACACUUUGACUGUCACUAGCAUCCUUUCUUAACUGGGAUUGCUAGUUGCUUGGUUUUAAAUUGUUUGUAUUCCCUUACUCUUUAUCGCUUCCGCUUUGCACACAAGGCUACGUCACGCUCACGUGAUGGCCAACACGUCUCGACUUCAGUCGGGGUGUGUCAUGGCCAGAUGGCCGAUUUUGUCUUUUUAAGCUAAUAUCAAUAUUUUGAGUUAAUGUUUGGUUUUUGUUUGAUGUGAUUCAAUCGUGGGGAUGUAGUUUCAUUUUUAUCAGCCACUUGAAUAUUUUUAUUAAAUGGUUUAAAUUUGACGACGAAUUACGAAUGGCUUGAUCCCAUUUGAGGGUACGUAGGCAGUCUAACAAGAAGGUUAGAUGCAGUAAUAAAGCGAUCAAAUUAAAUUUAUUGUGGUUAAUAGAGUAUUGAUUAACCAUGACUUUAUCUUAGCCAUGGCCAUGGCUAUACCCAUAACCAUUUAUAAACGGUUAACCAUACCCAUAACCACGUACCCAUUUAACCGUAACCGCAUACCCAUUUAUCCUUUUUUACUCAUUUACUCGUUUUUUACCCGUCUACACAUUUUUUACCCAUUUAUAGGUACAUUUAACAUGCAUUUCCGUAUUUCAAUAUUUUGAGUCCUCAUACCAUUCUAAUAAUUGAAAUUAUAGUUUACAAACGAUUUUUUUUAGCUGUUACCAAUGAACGUAAUAUAAUAAAUUUGCUAAGAAUUGAUUUGUUUACUAGAUCAAUGAAUGAUAUUUUUAAUAAAUUUGCUAAGAAUUAAGGAGAAAUAUCAACACAAGGGCAAAAAUGCUUCAUAAUUUGCAGCAAUCUCAAAUAUCACCAUGUCUUUAUGUUCUAUGAUCUGCUCAGGUUCAUCAUUGCAUUUUUAAUAUAUUCCCCCAAGCUUUCAUUUGUAAUUUGGUAUUAUUUCCAUUCUAGUGUUAGUAUAAUAUCGAAUGAGUUCAAAGAUGUUAGCAAAUAUAUUAAAAUAAAUGGUUAAACAGGUACCCGUUUAUAAUCAUGGGUAGUACCCAUAACCACAAAUUUAAAUUUCACGGGGUAAACGGAUAUACUCAUAACCGUUUAUUUUUUUAAAGGGUUAUCCAUAACCGUAACCAUGAGUUUUAAAUGAGCGAGUAACCACGGUUACCCAUACAUGUUUGCAUAUCCCUACAUGCACAAGACAUGCAUAUGACACACACAUGAUAUGCUCAUAGAUCUAAGCCAACCCAAAAACCCAGAGCUCAUAGCUCUCUCUUUGAAAUUAGAAAAUGACGUCAUCAGUUGUGAAAUCACCACCAUAUACAUUAUAUGCACAUCACAUGCACAUUAUAUGUACAAUACAUAUGCACAUGAUCUACACAAAACUGGAGAUCGAACAAUGAGCUGCUUUUCGCAUUAAUAAGAAACAUUAAAGCAAUUUAUUGGUAUAAUGGAUACAAUUAAAACAUAAUUGUUACGUAUAUAAGGUUACAGUGGCAGUUUGAAAAGUCUUGUUAUGUAUAUCAACCACCGGUUAACCGUGCACAUGGAAAACAUGAUACUCGUUGUAGUUAUUUCAUGGACAUGCAUGACCCUUAACGUCCUCUAAGCUUUUUCUUAAUUUUGUUUUUUGCUGAGGCGAACUAGGUUGUGGUCAUACUUGCUAAACUUCCAGGCCUAACAUACGUGCAUUAUAACUAGUGAACAAUCUCACUUCUUAUAUUAAGUUAUAGUCAUACUUGCUAAACUUCCAGGCCUAACAUACGUGCAUUAUAACUGGAAAAAAAAUUCACAAAUUUCUGCAAUUGAGCAUUGAACAAGAAAUUGUUCCAUCCAGUUUUGUAGCACGUCAAAAAGUAAAGUUUAUUCCACAACCCAUAGGCCCCAACAUGAAACACAAACUCUAAUUUAACUUCUAAGUAUUAAUUCAUCUUACAAACAACCUAUUUAUUCCAUAAAUCAUUGAUGUAGAAACUUGGAACUAAACACCCUACCUUACUAUGCCUACCGAAGCUUCAGUUUUAGGAAAAAAUGGAACUUUCAGGUCAAAACAGAAAAUAUGGUGCAAAACCCAGCUCACUCCUCUCAUCUCUCCCUCGCAUCCCUUUGUUCGAAAUCAGAGUAUGAGGUCAACCCAAAACCCAACUCACUCUUUUCACCUCUCUUUGGACUUUCAUCUCUUCGAAAUAUGAGCUCAACCCGAAACCCAUAGCUCACAGAGUUCUCUCCACAUCCUUCUCUUCCAAAUGAGAAAAGUGAUGCAAUGGGAUGAUGAUUUUUAGUAUUUAUGUGGGUAUUUUAGUCAUUUCUGUUCGUGCAUGGUGUGCAUGGCCGGUGUGUCAUAUUUUUGUCCCAAUGUUAAGAAAAUGUCCUAUUUUUUUGGUAUUUCUCUAAAAAGUUUCACCAAGUAUAACCUCGGAUUGAACCCAUGCACUUUCAUCUGCGAGAUCAAUGUUGAUGGGCCUCAAAGAUUGAACUCAAGGGAUGGGAAUGGUUUGAAAGGCAUUGGAGAAAAUUAUAUUCAACUAAGGAUGAAUUGGUACAUGACACUGAUAUUACACAAGAUUGAAAUGCUGCACUAAAUAGCAUUGCAUAUUCUAAGGCCUUCAUCUUUUUGUGUGUUGUUUAUGUUUCUGAUCCUCUCAAGAAAAGAGUGCCUUUAAUGAGGAAGAAGCAAUUACAAUGGUAAUUAAGAAUUGAUGGUAGUUUAAUUUUUGUAAAUGUUUGAAGAGAUUGUGGUGAAAAAUGAAAAUUUGCAGAGAAAGACAUAGGUAGCUAGUACUCUGCCGUUUUGAUUUUUAAUUUUUGGUUUUUAAUAUUCAAAUCUUUUAAUUUAAUAUUUUUUUUUUGUUUCUAUAAAGACUUUCUUAUUGAACAAAAAAUAAAAUCUUUUCUUUAAUUAUAAGGGUAAAUUAAUAAAUUUAUAAACAUGUUUUUUCACUCAAGGGUUAUAGGAAAGGAAAUUAAAGCUUUAUGGGGUGUUUGUGUAAUUAACCCCACAUUUGUCUAAGGUUGCAUUUAUUUAUUUAUUUAAUGGGCUGGAUAUUUAGUUUGUUGGAUUGGUUUUUAGUACAAGUUCCCACGACAUUUGAUCAAAUUAUGUUACAAAUUACAAAGUCGCAUAUUUAUUAAGAGUUGGUUAAGUUUUAUGAUUAGCUGGAAUUAGGGAAAACAAAUCUUACUUGAGAUUAAGGUUCUAAAAAACACUAGGCGCUAGUCGGGCGGUGGACUAGCGCCUAGCGCCUAGGUGGCCUAGGCGGAUUUACAUAAAUUUACACUAUAUAUUAUAAAAUAUGAGUAUAUGUGUAUAAUUUUAGGACUUUUUUUCUAAUUUUAUACAAAGAAUAUUGGGUCUAGUUUGUUUUUUCUUUGAACAAAAUAGUGGGCCACAAAAUGAACCCAACUUGAAAGAAAAACCAUUUUUUCAAUUAAACCGACAGUUGGAAUUAGGGAAAACAAAUCUUACUUGAGAUCAAGGUUCUAAAAAAUACUAGGCGCUAGUCGGGCGGUGGAUUAGCGCGGAAUGGACCUCCACAAUGAGGUGAAGGAGGACCGGGUGGGGAAAGCGCGGAAUGGACCUCCACAACAUUGGUUCUUGUUGUUGUAGAUACGGGCCAGUUUGAUGGCACGGGCCUAAGAGCAAGGGGCCUAGGCUAAAAUGUCAUCCUGGAGGUCAAAUUUAAACCUACCAAGGAAAACCCUUAAGAGUUGGGAAUCAGACCAACCUUGGGCCCAACAUGACAAACAGAUGAAAUCGUUGAUGUAGGCCUCCAGCGAGCCUUUCUAAAACACAUGAGAAAAAGACAUGUUGAAGUCCAGUUGGUCGCCCGACCCAAACCGUUGGAGAAGUGAUUUGGUAAAGGUGGCCCAAAGCUCUAACCCGAUAUGCAACUUGUACCAUUUGAACCAAAGUGCAACAUCGCCUAUGAAAUGGACUGCAAUUAUGACCCGGUCGGUGGCAUCAUCCCCAUGAUAAUCCAUAUAUUCCUCCGCUAGAGCCAGCCAAUUGUACGGGUCAUCCUCAGAGAAUUGGAAUAGCUCAAUCUUCAUGUGUUUCAGGCCAAGGAAGGGAGGUGGUGCCCCCAUGAGGAAGGGUGGUGGUUGGAGAAGGUGAAACGAAGAGGAUGGAAGAUGAGGACGAAGGGUAGUUGUAGAUGUUGAGUAGAGAGGGGAUAUCUAUAGGUAACCGGUGAUUGGGGUAAGGGUAUAAGGGAGAGAAAGGGAGAGUGAGUAGUGGGUACCCCAUGUCGGAGGCGGACCAGCAGAGGUGGGUUGGGAGAGUUGGGGCAGCGGGGUAGAUGUCGAACCCAAGGGGAUGUGAAGAUAGCUGAUCGGAAUUUGAGGAAUAGUGGUGGAUGCUAGCAGCGGUUGCCUGGAGGCAUGGAGUUCCUCCAUCAAAUGGUUCUGUACGAGGCUGAUAUUGCGAAGGAAGCUUGGAUGUCCAUUAAGUUCGAUUGGAAAGAUUCUUGGCGAGUGGCUAACAAAGACACCGAAUCGUGAAACCUAUUGAGCUGCUCCAGGAUUUGGUGUUGUUGGUACUCCAGUUCUAGAUCGGCCUCCAUGACAUUGGCCACUACCACGGAGGCUUUGCUUUUCCCCAUGGAUGGCAGCAACCUGUCGUUGAUACCAGAUGAUAGGUGCAAGAGUGCAAAGAGUGAGAAAAAGAGGAAAAAAGAAUACAUUAAGACAUUUGAUUUUCAUUCAUGCCUUUCCCAAAUGGUGAAAGGAAGCUUAUUUACAACCCUAGAGGGGGAAGUGCUCACGAUUAGAACCAAUGUUUUAAAAAACUAGCCUCGGGGCGAGCCUAGGGUGCCUUUGAGGCUGGGCGGUGAGGCUAACGCCUCUGUUUUGCUGGAGUGGGCGAAAUGCUUCGCCGGAAACGCCUAGGUGGUGGCAGCGCGCCUCAAGGCGUCUCAGGUACCUUGUCUGCCCUUUUUUAAAAACCACCCAAACCCAAAACGACAUCGUUUAGGUAAGGGUUUUUAGUUUCAAAAUACAUAUUCGACCACUACCCUAUCGUUCUGCCUUCUUUACCCUCUUCUCUCGCUCCAGAAACACACAGCCGCAUCACCCCAGUCGAUCGUCCUCUUCCAGUCGCCACGCCAUCACCACAACGUCGUCAGCAAGCCCACAAUCAAAUCCCCUAUUUUAAAGGUUAGGGUUUCUGAAUUUCUGAAAAAGUUAGGGAUUUGAUCUUUUUUUUUUUAACUGGUGUGAAAGCCUUGGAGUUGGAAAGUAGAAAAACAGAGAGGAGUGGAGGUCUAAGGAGAGGAGGCUAAAGGCUUAAGGGGAUGGGAGAAGGAUUUGGGAUUGUGGCUAAAGGCUUAAAGGGAUUGGACCGUAUGUGUUGUGUAUUGUGUACAUAAAAAUAAUUAAAAAAUUAGUCUCAUGUUGGAAUUGUUUCUUCAUGAUUUUGUGGUGCAUCUCUGGUAUGCCGUAUGCCUCAUGUGAAUUUUUAAUGAUAAUCUAAGUUGGUAUUGGUAAUGAGUAGAAGUUUUUUACCUGCCUAAUGUACAAAUAAGUCCAAGUAAUUAAAUUAGGAGUUAAAUAAUAGCCACAUGCUAUGGAAAGAUAAGAUGUUAUAAGACAUUUUCUCUUUUUGAUCUGCAUAUAUGCCAAAAUUAGUAAGUGUUCAUGAACAUUAUCUGAUUCUUAUUCAAUAGUCAUUUUCCAAACAAUUUUUGUUGGAUGUCCAUCUUCUCGAAAUGUUCUAUUAAGCUUUUUAUUGGAUUGCUUUAUCUCAUUCAAAAAAGUAAUUGAGUAUGGUCAUUGUUCAUCAUAGUAAUUGUUGCAUAAAUUAAUAGAUUGUUGGUUCAUUAACUGUAUGCUUCGAAUGUUUAUUGUUUAGGCAUUGAAGAAUAUGGCUUCUUCUUCUAAGAAAGAUUUUGCUUGGCAAUGGACAAAAGAUUUGGAUCCUGUCACCAUGCAUUUCUAUUGUGUUUUUUGUAACCACAAAUGCACGGGUUCAAUUUCUAUAUUCAAACAUCACUUGGGUGGAGUAAGUUCAGGAGGAAUGAUAAGUUGUAAAAAAGUCCUACCCAAUGUGAAGGAAGAAUGCUUUGCUAAUGUUAUGGGAACUAAAGAAAAGAGGAAAGCUAGCCAUGAGUUGUGUCAUGGUGGUGGAGAAGAAAGUGAAAGUGUCGAUAUGGGCACAACAAGGACACCAUAUGUAAGUAGUAGGAGUGGGAGUGUAAGUACCACACAUUCACAAGAAAUCAGUUCUUUUCUACCAACUAGGUCAAGGGGACCACUUGAUAAGUAUGUUACAUCGGAAGCUCAUCAAACCACAUUGAAUACACCUUUCAAAAAAGAGGAAAGAAGACAAGCAUCCCGAGCACUUGCACGAUGGUUCCAAAUUAUUGUCAUUCCAUUCAAUGCAGCAAACAAUGAAUAUUAUGUUCAUGCAAUGAAAUUGGUAUCCAAUUUUGGUCCCGACUUUGAUGCUCCUACAAGCCAUGAAUAUAGAACUUGGAUGCUCAAAGAAAAAGUUGAGGAUGUACAAAGUAUGAUGAAAGAACAUCAAAAGGCUUGUAAGAGAUAUGGAUGCACUAUUAUGUCAGAUUGAUGGUCAGAUGGCAAAAGUAGGUGUUUAAUCAACUUUCUUGUCAAUAGCCCGCAAGGUACUUGGUUCUUAAAAUCGGUUGAUACAUCAGCCUCUAUUAAGAAUGAAGAUUUGUUGUAUGACUAUUUGGAUGAUGUUAUUCAACAAAUUGGGAAGGAGAAUGUGGUUCAAGUUAUAUCCGACAAUGCUUCGAACUACAAGAAUGUCGGGGCAAAACUUAUGGAGAGGAAAGAGAAUGUGUGGUGGACUGCAUGUACGGCUCAUUGCAUUGAUUUGAUGCUAGAAGAUAUUUCUAAGAUACCAUGGUUUGAUGACACGCUCAAACAUGGUAGGUGUAUUUCAAAGUAUCUAUAUGAGCAUCAAUGGAUACUAGCUUUGAUGAGAAAGUAUACCAACAAUUCGGAAAUUCUUCGUCCGGCGAUCACUAAGUUAGCCACUUAUUUCCUUACACUACAAAGCUUACAAAAGCAAAAAGAAAAUCUUGUUGCUUUGUUUACCUCUAAAGAAUGGUUAGAAAUUAUCUAUGCAAGAUCCCAUGAAGCAAAGUUGGCUAAGCAUCAUGUGUUACAUGAUCGUAAGUUUUGGGUUCGAGUUUCCUUUUGCAUUAAGGGUGUUCUUCCUCUUGUUUGUGUUUUGAGAGAGGUUGAUUCGGAUGAGAGACCCCCCAUGGGUUUUAUAUAUGAGUUGAUGGAUGCCGCAAAAGAGAAAAUUGCAAGCAAUCUUAACAAAGUGGAGAAAAAAUAUGUCUAUUUGGAGAAAGAUAGAUUGUAGAUGGAAUGAUCAACUUCAUCAACCACUAUAUGCGGCGGGUUAUUACUUAAACCCACAAUUUCAAUUCGAUGAUAAUUUCUCAAAUACUGAUGAAGUGUGAAAUGGGUUGUUUGCUUGCAUGGAUGGGAUGCUUGGGAAAGGGAAAGAACGUGAAGAGGCAGAUGUUCAAUUGGUUUAAUAUAAUGAUAGGCGUGGUCCAUUUGCGGAUUCUAUAGCUAUGCAAACUAGGAAAAAGUGAACACUAAGUAAGAUUUAAUUAGUCAAUUGUUAAUAUCUUUUUAUCAUUAACCCUUAAAUUGCUUACCUUACUAAUAUUUUUUUUAGCGGCUUGGUGGGAGCGUUUUGGGCAUAAAACACCCGAGUUAAUGAAGUUUGCUAUUCGAGUUCUAAGCCUUACUUGUAAUGCGUCAAGAUGUGAAAGGAAUUAGAGCACAUUUUCAAUGGUAAGUAAAUAUAUUAUUAGUAUCUUAAGUGUCAUUUUUGCUUAAGAUGAUUAGACUUGAAUAAUAGAAUUGAUUUAUUUGUAGAUUCAUACAAAAAGAAGGAAUAGGCUUGAACACAAAAGGCUUAAUGCUUUAGCCUAUGUCAAGUACAAUUUGGCUUUACAACAGAGAAGUAAGAAAAUGAGGGAGAAGUAUGAUCCUAUUGUUGUGGAAGAAAUUGCCUCUUAUGAUGAAUGGAUAACGGAGAUAGAAGAUCUUGUUCUUCCCGAAGAUCUUACAUGGCUUGAGGAUGAGUUAUUGUAUAAUGUUGAGGUCGUAAGGAAUGUGCCACCCCCGGUUUAUGAAAGUGGCUCAUACAUUCAAGAGCCUAGAGUCUUCUCCUCUUCCUCCUCCUCGUGAGCCUACUCAACCUCAAGGUCCUAUUACAUACAAAAGAAAACGGGGUAAUGAAGCAUCCUCAAGUCGAAGAAAUGUGGAGUAUGAUUUGGAAGAUUCUUUUGAUGAAUUGAUGACAUAACCAACAAGUUCAACUAGAGUUGGCAAUGAAGAGGAUGAUGUUGCCUUUUAUUUAGAUGAAGAGGAUUUAGAUGAAUGAUUGAUAUCUUUGUUUGUAUUUUGAUUUAUAUGAAGAGGAUUUGGAUGAGUGAUUGUUUUAUUUGUUUGUAUUACCUUUUGAAUGAUGAAUUUGGAUGAUAUUACCUUUGAAUGAUGAAUGUAGAUGAUAUUAUCUUUUGAAUGACUAUGAAUUUGAAUGAAAAAUUGAGAAUGGAUGUUUAUUUUACAUAGUAUUAUUUUUUAUACAAUGAUUGGAACACAUCACCAUAUUCCCUACUGUUGCAUGAAACCAACCUUUACAAGGAUAAAACAAAAUACCAUAAAGGAUAGACUUGUAGCUGCCUAAUAUUCCAAUGUCCUAACACAAAGAAAAUUAAAUCCCUAGAAACUGAAUUGGGAAAAAGAAGAAGUUGGAAUUGGACAUGCUGCUGGAUCCUGGCGAACUCGGCGGGGGAUAUGCGACUUAUCAGCUCCUAAGCGAGUCUCAUCAACCCGGGAUCGAUCAUAUUCAUUCCAAUAAACAUCUUAAUCCCGCUUUCCUAACAAUCAAUUCGGUUGAUUAGGAUUUUGGAUUUUGGGGGAAUUGUUGUGAUUUAUAGUAGGAGGAAGAGAACAAAAUAAAGGUGUUGAAGGAAGAAGGUCAGCCACCUAACCUGAAUUGAUAAGUCUUCUUCUAUUCUUUCUUUCUUUCUUUCUUUCUUUGUCUCUUGAAUUGAAGGAGGUCACAAUUUCGUCAAUUGUCUUGAUGAUUGUCCACCAUUAGGAUAUUUAAAAAAGUAAUUUGAUGCAAUUUUAGCCGAGGGUUGUCCCUUAAAUUGAUUAAGGCUUCUUGUGGUUAAUAUGUGUAACUUCUUAGGAUGGACGACACAUCUUAAAGGUUGUAUGGUUUUUUAAAAGGUUUUCACAAAACUUAAUGAGUUUUGCAUGUUAACAUUUGAUCUGAACAUCACGGAUGAGUUGCAUGUUAGAUAUACGUUUUAUAUUGCAGGUUCCAAAUACGAUAUACAUUAGGAAAACAUAACCUUCAAUAUAAAACGUAUAUCUAACAUGCAACCCAUCUGUGGUGUCCAGAUCAAAUGUUAACAUGCAAGACUCAUUAAGUUUUGUGAAAACCUUUUGAAAAACCAUACAACCCUUAAAAUGUGUCGUCCAUCCUAAGAAAUUACACAUAUUAACCACAAGAAGCCUUAAUCAAUUUCAGGGACAACCCUCGGCUAAAAUUGCAUCAAAUUACUUUUCUAAAUAUCCUAAUGGUGGACAAUCAUAAGUAAUUAAAAGAACUACGUAUGAUUGUUAAGAUGAUGGUGGAAUCCUAGUAGUUUAAUAGAUUUUCAAACUAUUUUCUUUUGUUUUCUUUACUUUCCCAAUUUAUUUAAUUGUUUUUAAUUAAAUUCGUUUUUAAUAUUUUAGGUCAUUAAAUCAACGUUUUUUUAAUUUUGUUUUCAAAUAAUUAAUUAAGAUUUGUUUUAUCAUAAAUUAUUCAUUCAAUCCCUGUGGAAAACGUCCUUACUUGAGCUGUUAUACUAUGAUAUGCUUGUACUCUUGCAAGUAUUUUUAAGUGUUUAUAUCCCUCCCUUCGCAGGUCGUAAAAAUCCCCAUCAAGAGUUUAUGUCAAUUUGGAUGGAAUUUAUGAAAAACUAACGGUAAGGGAGAAAUUAGCCAAAAAAAAAGUUUAAAUCCUUAAUUUUCCAAGUAAAAAGUUUAAGAGGAAAUCGAAAACUAAGUGAAAAUUGAGGGGGAAAUUGGCAGUAUACUCUUACAUUUCUCGCCUUAACUGCUUAUUGGUUGUUGGUGCUUUGCAGCAUCAUCUCUCACUUUACAAAAGGUUUGGGACUAAGAAUCUUGGAAAAUACUUUGUUGUAUUUAAAAGUUUACAUAACACGACUACAUUACUAACGUGAUUGCGUUCAUGCCACAUGAAAUAAAAAUUUAUAUAUGACAUUGCAUAUUUGAUACAAAUGAAUUUACUAUUUGUAAAAUUGGCAUAUAACUAAUUAUUAUUGUUAUUUUAUAGGAAGCUUUAAUGAAAAAGGCUUUUUCAAACUUUUUAUUAACCAAAAACCAUUUACUAACUUUAUUUAAUAAACAAGACUUAAACUUUAAUGAAAAAAGACAAAAACGAGAAAGAACAACCAAAACAAGGAAGCCUCACGUGCAAAAUAAGAAAUUCAUUUUCCAUCCAUGCCCCUGCCUUCCGUCAGCCCACUUUUGUUAGAAUUAAACUUUCAUUUAUUUACAAAUAUGACAUUGCCUCAUUUAUUUAUAAAUAUGCCAUUUUCUAGAGGAUUCGUCAAAAAAAAAAAAAAAACUUUUGUCAGUCGAUACCAAUUAACCCCCAACAUAAUUAAUUAUCUCAAAUUCCUCGCCUCACCUCCCAUCAAAUAAAUUUAAAAAAAAAAUAAAUUCCACAAAUCACUACAAAAUAAUGAACUUUAGAUUCGAAAAUGACAUAAUUUCACUGAGUGUAUCACAUUGCACAUUCACUUGUAUAAUCCAAACUUCUACACAAAUCACUACAAAAUAAUGAAGGUUAACGGAAGAUUUCUUGGAUCAGUGAAACUUAAAGGGCGAGACUCACAUCAACGUUUAUGAUUAUGUUUUUUUUUUUUGGAAACUAGUUUAUGAUUAUGUUUGGUCUGAAUUAUGUUUGGAAGUCUCAUGCAAUUGCCUUCGAUCUAUCUCAUUAUAAAAUUGAACUCGUGUCUCUGUGUGUGUGUGUAUAGUGUUCCGUUUGAUAAAUAGUCAGUGUUUAGUUUACGAAACGGUGAUAGUACUAGUGUUCGUUUGAUAAAUAGUCAGUGUUUAGUUUUCGAAAUAGUGACAGUACUUGUAUUCAGUUUAAGAAAUAGUGAUAGUACUAAUGUUCGGUUUAAGAUAUAGUCAGUGUUUAAUUUAAGAAAUAGUGUUCAUUUUAAGAAGUAGUCAAUGUUCAGUUAAGAAAUAGUGAUAGUACUAGUGUUCUGUUUGAGAAAUAAUCAGUGUUUAGUUUACGAAAGAGUGAUAGUACUAGUGUUCUGUUUAAUAAAUAGUCAGUGUUUAGUUUACGAAACAGUGAUAGUACGUCAAUACUUAGUUUAUGAAAUAGUGAUAGUACUAGUGUUCCGUCUAAGAAAUAGUCAGUGUUUAGUUUACGAAAUAGUGAUAGUACGUCAAUACUUAGUUUACGAAAUAGUGAUAGUACUAGUGUUCCGUCUAAGAAAUAGUCAGUGUUUAGUUUACGAAACAUAGUCAGUGUUUAGUUUACGAAACAUAGUCAGUGUUUAGUUUACAAAACAGUGAUAGUACAACAGUGAUAAUACUAGCGUUCCGUUUAAAAAAUAGUUAGUGUUUAGUUUACGAAACAGUGAUAGUACUAGUGUUCAGUUUGAGAAAUAAUCAGUGUUAACGAAACAGUGAUAGUAUUAGUGUUUGUUUGAUAAAUAGUCAAUAUUUAGUUUACGAAACAGUGAUAGUACUAGUGUUCCGUUUAAGAAAUAAUCAGUGUUUAGUUUACGAAACAGUGAUAGUGCUAGUGUUCCGUUUAAGAAAUAGUAAGUAUUUAGUUUACGAAAUAGUGAUAGUACUAGUAUUCGUUUGAUAAAUAGUCAGUGUUUAGUUUACGAAACAGUGAUAGUACUUGUGUUCGUUUGAUAAAUAGUCAAUGUUUAGUUUACAAAACAGUGAUUUCCGUUUAAGAAAUAGUCAGUGUUUAGUUUACGAAACAGUGAUAGUACUAGUGUUCCAUUUAAGAAAUAGUCAGUGUUUAGUUUACAAGAAAUAGUCAGUGUUUAGUUUACGAAAUAGUGAUAGUACUAGUGUUCGUUGAUAAAUAGUAAGUGUUCGUUUAAGAAAAUAAUAGAAUAAUAAUAAUAAUUAAGCAUCUUGAUCUUAAUCAACAAGCAUAUGAUAAUAAUUGAUCAUAUUGUAAGUAGGGUCAACAUAAUCAAGAAAUGACUUUACAAGGACCCUCGUUCCAUUCAACUAUACCUUCACAUUCUUUCCAAGGCAUUUUUUCGCACUGAGCUAAUUUCAAUCCGGCUGAAAGUACUCCAGAUGCUGCUGGAUUCACAACUGCAUCAUAGUGGGUUGUAUCACCUCUAAUCUACUGACACAGUUGAUAAAUUAACUUUCAUGGAGACAAUGUAUUAUUUUAUGAGGAUAAAUAAAAUGCAUACAUUCCUAACCUCGUUCAAAAGUCAACAAAACAAAACUUAAUAACAAAAUAAUUAACCAACUAUAUAUGAUGUUAUUCUUUAUUAUGAAUUUGUAAAUGGAGAAUGUUUGUAGGAAACACUCAAUGCAUCAAUAUAAUGGGAAGCCUAAGCCUUCGGUAUCUACAAAAAUAUGCGGCAAUGCGCAAAUCUUGGUAAUCCGUGAAAUUUCAAGAUUGUGCUUUGGUCUCUUGCAUCCUCCUUAUAUGCUUGUAAACUUUACGAUUGUGUUCAAGAGGUCUAAGGUAAUUAAUUAAAUGGUUAAGAUGAUAUGAUGGGAGUAUCGACGAACCUAAUUCGGAGUGCGUGAGGCUGCAUCUUGGGUUGUUGAGCACUCUAAAUCUAUAUGCAUUGAUAUUGUACAAUUAUCCUGACCAUUAGAUUAUGCAAGCUAGAAAAUAAAUCAAUUCGUUUGAGCUGAUUGCUAAUGCAUUAGAAAAAUUAGAACUAGAUUACUAAAUCAUCGCAUGUAUCACUGAGAGAACAGUUUGUUGAGCCGUUUCAAGUUGUUCUUCUAAGAUUUAUCCUACAACUCUGAGCAUUCAUCAGUUUGACUUUACACAAAAUGUAGAUUUCAUUAAACAACAGAUUACAAAAAUAUCACAAUAGAAAUUUUCGAAAAAAUUAUCCAAGUAACCAUUCUAAACUAAACUUACACAAGCAUGCUAGUGAAUGUUGUGAACUGAAGAGCAUUUGGGAAAGAAUGUGAAUUUUAUAGGUAGAGUACAUGUAUACAUCAACUCUCAUCGAUUGGAAAUCCAUUUCAAACCCAUAUAGGUAGAGUACAUGUAUACAUCAUGUUGCAAUGUUUAGUCAAUCGAAAUUCGCAAAUCCAUUUCAAAUCCAUAGAACAAUUAGUCACAGUAACCUCAAUAAAUCACAGGUUACAAAACAAAAUUACACCAAACGAACAAUCACAAACAUGAGAUCAAAUCCUAAUUUUGCAAUUCCACCAAACAUUGAAACCCUAAAAUACACAAUUUUAUACACAUCAAACCCUAAAAUAGAAGACCAAAUGCUAAUUCGUAAAUUCCACAAAACACUAAAACCCUAAACACAAAUCAUACAUCACAUAAAUUAGGGAAUCCACAAUUUUAUACAUGUUUGUACGUUCGUCUUCUCGAUGAUGAACUCGAUGGAGAAAAUGUUCGUAAGCUUGGCGUCGUAGUCAUUGCAUCCACCCAUGGUCUUCUUCACCGUGUCAUAGUAAUUGCUACUAGUCAGAAGGUGCUCGAAGUUCAACUCUAGGACGUAGACCCUCUCCUCCUACUGAAUCUCGAUAGGAACUCUAGCAACGUUGUUGUAGACGCUGAUACAGUUCUCCUUGACGUCAAUGGACUGAGACAGCGAGGAGAUGAGUGAGAGUAGUACCUAAUGAUGUUUGAGAGCGAGUGUGAUGACAAAUGUGCUGACGGUUGGGGCAACGGAGCACGGAAGAUGAGGAUUUAGACGUGGUUCUUCUUCCUUUCCCUUCACUUCUCUUUCUCUCUCAGAUUCAGAUGAAAAUGAGUGGCACGGCUCAAAUGAAAUAGCAAGACACCAAAGAUUGGAAGAUUGAAUUGAGGUCAGUGGAGCCAAGCUUUUCGUCGGUUGGGAUUUCGGGCCAGGGCUGGUUUGAGGUAGCAGUGGUGGCGAAGAUCGUCGUCGUUGUGUCAUGGAGAGAGGGAGACAGCAGAGAGAGAUCCGGAAGAGAUAUCAAACGGACAAGAGACUUGCCAUUAGGGGUAAAAUUGAAAAUUAAUUGUUUGGGCCAUCUUAAUAGGACUAGUUUAGUGUUGGGCUUUGUCCUAACCAUUAAAUAAAGUUGUUACAUAGUUUUUGGUUAAGAUUCAAAGUUUUCAAG